GUGUGUGAGGUGUGAAAUUCUCUUAAAGAGUUAUUGCUCCAUGUUAUAGUUGAAAAAAAAAUGAAAAAUAUGUUGAUGAUUGGAAAAUAAAAAUAAAAAAAGGUCAUGAUUUCUUGAAAAAUAUUUAAGAGACUUUAAAAAUGUAUAUGACAAUCUUAUUGCAAUCAAAAACCAAUUUUAGACCAAGAAAAAGUUUGUCAAUGCACAUAUGGUAUAAUUUUUUUUUCCACUUGUUAUUCUUUUUUAACCAAUUUAUAGCUCUUAAGGACAUAAGCAAACACUCACAACCAAAAAGGAGAGAAAAUGCUUUGGGAGUAUGCACAAAUUUUUAUUUGGAUAACACAAUCAUGGUCAAAAUGGUUGAGGAGACAAAAAUUUCUAUUUGAAGGGACCUAUGUGUUUCUAUUCUUAAAAAAAAAAUGAAAAAAAUAAUAAUUUAAUAUGCUUUAUCAAGUUUUGACAUUAAGAGCCACAUUUUCCAGUUUAGGCUUUAGAUCCAUAGUCUUGGCAUUCAAAACCAUUUUUUUCUUAGUGUCAAUGUUCAAAACCCUUUUCCUAAUUUUGACGUUUAGAGUUAUUUUCUUAGUUUUGGCAUUCAAAGCCCUUUUCCUAGUUUUGGCAUUUGGAGUCAUUUUCUUAAAUUUAGCAUUUAAAGCUCUUUUCUUAGUAUUAACGUUCAAAACAUUUUUCCUAGUUUUGGCAUUCAAAACCAUUUUCUUAGUUUUGACAUUUAGAGCCAUUUUCUUAGGUUUGACAUUUAGAGUCUUUUUCCUAGUUUUGACAUUCAAAGUCAUUUUCUUAAUUUUAGCAUUCAGAGCCCUUUUCUUAGUAUUGGCAUUUAGAACACUUUUCUCGGUUUUGGGGUUCAUAGCCUCUUUUUUUUUUUUUUUAGUUUUAACAUUUAGAGCCUUUUUCUUAGUAUUAGUGCUCAAAGCCCUUUCCACUCUUUGUUCUCAUCAUUUCAUCAUAUUCGUUAUUUCUAUCAUUUCAUUACAUGAGGUUUCUUGUAUUCCCCUUAUCUAGAAUACUCCCCCUUCAUUUGGUCUAUCUUAGAGCUUAUCUUGUCAUGUGCUAGGAAAAAAAUUUCGGUCUUUCUUAGUUCGUCAGUAUAGUUUAUUUCGUUCCACUCAUAUUCCUUAUAAUCAUGAUCUUUACCAAAGAAGAGCGUAGUUGUAAACCCUCCAUUUUGUCAUAGUAGGACAUGUUACUAUAUAUGUUUUCCUUCACUUCUUGUUUCACUAUAGCCAUCCCAUGGUGGUCCAUAGUCUCUUAUUUGAUACUAUUUUUGAGCCACCUUUAGAGAUUCUUUGUUGAUCCCAUUUGUGACCUUAAUUGUACCUUAUUUUAGUACACUUAGCUGCAUUUUUAGGUUUAGUUUACUUAGAUGCAUUUCUUAGGUUUAGUUUAUUUAAGUGCACCUUAGGUUCAGCUCACCUAGUUACACUUUAACUCACGUUCAACUCACUUAGUUGCAUCUUAGUUUUAGCUCACUAAGUUAUAUUUUAGCUCAGGCUCAACUCACUUAAUGGCACCUUAGGUCUAGUUCACUUAGUGGCACCUUAGGUUCAGCUCACUUAGUUACACUUUAGCUCAAUUUUAGCUCACUUAGUUGCAUACUUAGUAUAUCUUACUUAGUUGACCUUCCUACCAAUAAAAAUGCAAUCAGUUUUAAGUGGGUUUAUAAGAUAAAGUAUAAGUCUAAUGGCUUGAUUGAGCACUAUAAAGCUCAACUCACUGCAAAGGUUUAUAGCUAGCAAGAAGGACUUGAUUUCCAUGAGACCUUUACUUUUGUUACCAAGUUAGUCACUAUCAAAGCCUUUAUUGCUAUUGUUUCUAUUAGAGAUUGGCAUCCUUAUAAAUUGGAUAUCAAUAAUGUUCUUUUCAUGGUGACUUGGAUGAAAAUGUAUAUAUGCAAAUUCCACUAGGUUUUCAUCAAUAGGGACAGACUCGAGUUUGCGAACUUUAUAAAUCUCUCUAUUGCCUUAGCCAAGCAUUUCAACAAUGGUUUGCUAAAUUUUCUAAUGUUUUACUUGCCACUUGAAAAAGGAAGUUUUUUAUUUUCAGGUUCUCACAUGAAUAAAAAUUUAUGGCUCCAAAUAAUGGAGUAAUUCUUGAUUCUCAUGAGCUUUCUCAUGAUUAUGAAGGAUCAGGAAACAUGUAUUGAAUUCAUGUAUAUUAAUUUGGACCUUGGUGAAGUACAACAUUCAAAUCAUUUUUUUCCAAACAAAACCUAUUUCCACUAUUAGUUCAACUCAUUAACUUUUAGAAUAAAAAAAUUAGAGUUAAAUGGAUUAGGGUUUUUCUAAAAUUAUUUUGAUGUUUGCAUGGUGUUCUUAUUGUCAAAAAUUAAAUUAAAUUAUUUGGGCUCAAAAUCAUUUUUUAAUUGGAAUAUUUAAAUUGGUUUUACACAAGUUUCGUUUUAACCCUAGUCUAGACACCUGAAAUGAUUCUGAAAAUUGAAAUUAUUUUUCGAGUUCUAUAAUCCUUAUUGAUAUUUUUUUUCUUAAUAUGAACGUAUUAAAACUAAUUUUAGGACCUCGUUUCAUUAAAAACCGGUUCCCAAAUGGGAGAAAAAAAUCUUUCUUCUUAAUCCCAUUCUAUAGUCAAGGGCUAUUUGUCUUGUUUUAAAAAUUCUCCUUGUUUGAUUAAAUCAAGCUGUUUCUUUUUUCUUUUCUUUUUUUCCAUACAAAGUAGACAUAUUGAGGGUGUUUUACAUUUUCUGUUAUACAUUUUUUUUCUUGAUUUUAUUAUGCUUCUAAUGUAGUCAAAUAAAUUUGUUUUAAACAUGCUAUGGAAAUUUGUCCCAUUUCUGACUAAUGUGCUUAUGAUUAAAUCCGGUAUUAAACUGUAUAUAAUUUAAUGAUUUAGCCUUUUGUGUUGUAUUCUAGACACAUAGUAUAUGUUUUCUAAUUUUUUUCAUGGUGAAAUUCCAUCUCUAGAUAUUCUUUUAGGAUUUAUUUUGCAAGUGUCUAUGUUCUAACUAGGGUUGAUUAUUCAAUAAAGUGAUCUUAAUGUGAUUUAAUUUGGUAUUGAUUGGCACCUAGUUAAAUGUUUUGGGCUUUUGUAUUGUAACUUAGAUACAUUGAAGAUGUUAUUCAAAUUUUUUUUCAUGAUGAAAUAACACCUCUAGGUAUUUAUUAAAGAUUUAUUUUUUAAAAUGUCUUUGUUUUGACCCAAUGGUGAGUUUUUUUGGGGAGAUUUUGUUAUUUUUUUCUUCACUUUAUGCACUUUCUUAAAUUUUUUGGACCAUUGUUAUAUAUUUUAGACAUGUUAUAUAUGUUAAGUGAAUCUUGUUUCCCAUCAUAAACCCUUAUUGGAUAUUUUAAUUGGACUCAUUUUGAAAUUGCAUGCAUGCUAAAUGUGUAUUGAAUUUAAAUGAUAAUUGUUACUUGAUUAUUUCUCCAUUCCUUUAUUUGAGUAGUGGACAUAUUAUGUAUGAUGAUUAUUUUUUAAAAAAAAAAUUCAUGUCUAUUUUUAUUUCGUGUGAACUAAUCCUUAUUGAUUAAUAUCUUAAACAUGCAUUCUAGGAACCAAAGAUGCUAACAAGUUUAGGGUUUUCAAAGAUUAAUAUUACAAACGUCAAUGCCAAACAUCAACUAAAGAAAUAGAUAGUGUAGAAUUAUAUAUUGAAGCAUUGUUGAAAACAAAAUAGUAUAAUCCAUUGCAUUCUUCACCCUUGCUAAUCAUCUUCCUCGAGGUAAGGUCCUAGAUAAGACAUGAAUUAGAAUGGGAAGUGAGAAAACAAUUUGAAGAAUGAGUGAGUUUGUUAACUUAGAUAAGAUUAAACGGUACCAAUAUGGGUACCAUUAUGAAGGGUACUAUUUCUGUUACUAUUUGUGAGUUUGCACACAAAAGACAAGGGUAAGAGAUGGAGAUAAUGAAGCGGUACCAAUAUGGGUUAUGGAUGCAAGACUACCAUAAAAAGCUUAAUAGUAACAGAAAUAGUGGAUGUUAUGGAAGAGAAAAGGAUAACAGAGCUCACAACAUGAUUUGUUACACCACUAUCUAAUAUAUAAGAGGCUAGGUAUUAUGAAAAGAAGAUUUCAAAUUAAUACCUUAGAGGUAAGAGGUGGAAGAGACACUACCUACUUGAUUUGCCAUGACUUGAGGCUUGAGAAGAAUAAAGAGUUAUUGGACUUGUUCUACAAUGAAAGACGAGGUAAUAGAAGUGUUGCUUGUGGAUCCAUCAUAGGAAAGUGAUUGUCGACCUAUCUGAUUUACAAUAGGUUGAGAAGUCGAUCUCCUUGUGAAGCCGAUGUUUGGGAGGAUAUCCACAAAGCUUGUAAUACUUGUCAAUUGUUUGUCCAACGUGACCAUAAUGGGAGCAAGUAGGUCGCUCUUUUUGUGACCUAGGGCCCUUAUUAUUUUAUUUAUUUGCCAUAUGAUUUAAUUAAUUGUUGUUGUGCUACUAAUACACUGGUUUUAAUGUUUGGUUGUAUUGUCACAAUCACAUUCCUUUGCCUUUCUUCUUGUAGAAUAAGAGAAUAUGCCCAAUUCACAUUAGGAAAAGAGUCCAUAAGCAAAAUCUGUCCACAUAUAACAUAACAUUAUUCAUUUAGACCCAUCAAGAAUUGAAUGAGACGGUGUUGUUGAUAAUCAGCCACAACCUUUUUUGCUAAGCAUGUACAUGUGGGAAAAGAUUGCAAAUUUGUAAGUUUAUCUCAUAAAGCUUUCAAUCGAGUAUAAUAGGUAACAAUAUAAAGGUAUUAUUGUCUCAGAAAGAUAAUAUCUCUCUCAAUUUGUAAGAAACAAAGGGCAUUGGGUUGAGAAAAUGCUCCUUAAGAUCGGGCCAAUUUUCGAUUCCUCUAUCUACAUAAAUGACAUUGUUGCCUAAAUCUUGAGAUAAGGAAUUAAGGAUCCAAGCUUUUACCAUGUUGUUAUAGUAAUUCCACAUGUCAUAUGUUGAGUUUGUUGAAGAAGUUUUUGUUGAGAACUCCAAAUUACUCCAUUCCAUGUCCCUAGAUCUCAUAGUGUGCAUGCAUUUAUCCCUUGACAUCUCUAAAUCAACCAUAGCAAAAUAAAAUGACAAUAAAAACAAUUAUUAACUAUAGAUCCAGAGAUAUAGAACUUGGUUUAUCUCAUAUCUCAUAAAUCUGAAACUCAUCAUCUUUUAGUCUUUUAAGACUAUCACCAAUCAAUUCGAUCAAAAGAUUAAGAAAUUAAGUUCAAUACAAUAAUUAGGAAGAAUUUUCUAUACCUAGUUUUUUCAAGAGAAAAACAUCAUCAAACUAACUAUGUGGAUACCGCCCAACAAAAUGGGGUUGUUGAACGUAAACAUCAUCAUCUUCAUAAUGUUGCUCAUGCUUUACGUUUUCAAGUGCACCUUCCUAUCCAAUUUUGGGGUGAUUGUAUCCUUACUACUGCAUAUUUGAUUAAUAAAACCCCAUCAUCAAUUCUCCUUGGCCAAACUCCCUAUGGAAAGCUUUUUUCUAGAAAGCCCUUAUAAUCACACUUGAGAGUUUUUUGUGGCCUUUAUUAUGCUUCUACUCAUGCUUUAAAGAAAACAAAAUUUGAUCCUCAUGUCAAACGAUUUGUAUUCAUCAAGUAUCCAUAUGGUAAAAAGGGUUAUAAACUUAAUGAUCUCUACAACCACACAACCUUUGUUUGAUGUGAUGUCGAUUUUCAUGAAAAAUUAAUUAAACUCGCUUAUUUUUACAAUUUCCAUUGUGGUUUGGCGUAAUAGUUGUCUUGCUAAACCAAUGGUCUUAUGGUAAGCACUCCUUAUCCUUUAACUCUUUAUUUAUCAUGUUCCUCUUUCCCCCCACUCAUUGUGCUUUUAGUGUUUUCAUUUGAUCAUUAUUAGAGCCUGCAUCCUUCAAGCAGGCAACUAGACCCAAAAUGGUAUGAUGCCAUGUUACUGACAUUUGUGCUCUUGAUGUGUCUGUGUCAAGAAAAUCUAGAUGAUUAAUAUUAGCAACAGUUUCAUUUUGAUUGAGUAAUUUUAUGACUUUUAUCUUUUACACAUAACAUGAAUGAAUUGUCACCCAUUCCAAAACUUGAAUGGUGAAUUAGUUCAACAAUUGGCCUUCUCUCAACAAAAGUUUAAAUUCAGAACCAUAUCCAAUUACCUUAAGUAUAAGGUAGUGACAUAAUCAAAUGGAAAUUAAUUAUCUUUGAAAAUUACAUAUUUCAUAGCCAAGAAACCACCAGGAAGGUAACAAGAAAUUGUACCCUUUGACCCAAAAGGCUGAUAACAAAAACAGUAACUUAUUCUUUCGUAUAUGGGCCAAUUCUUUCAAUCUUAUGUUAUUUAAUUUUCUCAAUCCUAAAGCUGGUUGAAUUGGAUUAUUAUUAUUAUUAUUUUGGAUAUUUAUGUUUGUGAUUUUAAUGCAAAUCGAGGAAUAUGUAAAUUGUAAUGACUUCUUUUUAAACUUGAAGUAAUUCGGUUUUCCUAAGCUAAUAAACUAAAGUUCAUUUAAUUAUUUUUUUCUCAAAAUACUAUAAGAAAUACUCAACUCAUCACAAUCAUACAAUAAAGAUCACAUGGAGACUAGAAACUUAUUCAGAAGCUCUUGUUAUUUUGUGGAGUUACACUGAACUUUGCUGAAAAUAUAGCUUAAGACAGAAAGUCUUGGAGCUGUUAAAAUUCUAGAUUAAGAUUAACAAUCAGCUAGAGGAAACGAGGUAGAAAUCAAAACCAGUAUCGGCAGCAUAUUCUGUUUGGUAUCUGGACAUAAGAAAAAUGGCUGUUUAUUUGUCUAGUUAUAGAGAAGCUUUUAGAUAGAUAUGGCAAAUUAAAAUAUUUUAGUAUAUGUGUAUAUAUAUAUAUAUAUAUAUAUAUAUUUAGAUAUAUAUUUUAAGGCAAUGCUAAAUUCCUUUUAAGUUGGUCUGCUUUACAUUAAGGGCAUUUUUGAAAGGAUUUUGAUUUUUGAGUUCUUGAUCGACCUUGUGCCCUUUGACCUAAAAGGCUGAUAACAAUUGAUUUUUUUUUCCCUUUAUUUGCUAAUAAAGUUACAUAGUUUUUCUACUAAUAAGGAACAUCCCAUAUUUGUUUCCAUGGUCUCAAGUACUUUUAUGAUUUUUACCUUUACCACAUAUCAUGAUCAAUCAAUUGUAAACCCUUCAAAAACUUUAAUAGUAAAGUAGUUGUACAUUUAGUCUUCAUUAAAAACUUUAAUAGUAAAGUAGUUGUACAUUUAGUCUUCAUUAAACAAAAGUUUAAAAUUCAAAUAGCACAUUGUGAUAAGAUUUGACACAAUAAAAUGGAAAUUAAGUAUUUAAAAUGUAAAUAUUUUGUAACCAAAAAAGAGACAACACUAAAUUUCUUUAGGGGACAUAUUAAGGGAAAGAAUAAAAGAUGACCUUCAACUAAAAUUUCUUUUGUCAUCAUCUUUUAUGCUCUUUACUUUUUCAAAAAUUCUUCAACCAAGACUUUGAUACCAAUUUUCAAUAGAUUCUAUAAUAAAAAAAAAAAUGUUGAUUAAAGAACACAAAGAUAAAAAUAAUCCACACAAAGGUACAUGAUGGAUAAGAGAUAAUCAAUCCACUAUACCAUAUUAAAUAUUAAAGAAGAAAAAAUUCAUAUAUAAUUAUUAGAUUCCCAAAACAUCUCAUAUUCCUUCAUUUCUUAUAUCUACAUCCUGAACCACGAGAUCCUUUACUCCAUCAUAAUCAACCUUUAAGCAUUAGUUUGUGAUUUGUAAAACCUCUACAAAAAAUUUGAUCAAAUGAUAAUCUAUUUAUUAUAUUAUCAAGAGAAUAUAACUUUAAAUAAUCUUGAACUAACAAGAUAGCACCAAAAUUGUAUUCUCUAAUCAAAAUCUUCCAAAUUGCGUCAUAAUAUUUUUUUUUUUUUUGAAAUAGUUUUAUUAAUAAAGUACAUUAGUUGUAUUAUAUUUUGAUAAAUUUUAAAAUGAUUUAAUUUAUAAUUCAUAUAAAUUUAAAGUUUUUAAUAAGUUAAAUAAGUCAAAUUAUAUAUACCAAGUCAUGACUAUACUUGAGCUAGUAAUAUACUUGUAAAUGACUUAUUCAUAUCAGUUUGAUGUUAAUUUAACAUAACUCAACAAACCUCAAUUCAACCUAUUAAUUGAACGGGUUGUUACAUAUAUAAUAAAGGAUAUGUGUGUCAAGAAAAUCUAGAGGAUUAAUAUUAGAAAGCGUUUCAUUUUGAUUGAGUCAUUUCAUGACUUUUAUCUUUUACACAACAUGAAUGAAUUGUUAUCAUUUCUAAAACUUGAAUGGUGAAUUAGUUCAACAUUUAAUGGGUGUUUGGUAAACUAACUUAAUAACUUAAUUUAAGUCACUAAUUAAAUUAAGUAUGUUUCGUAAAAUAACUUAAUGAUACGACUUAAAACAAAAAACAACUUUAAGUAAUAAGUAAAAAUAAUUAACUUAUUCUUAAAUUCAUAUAUUUAUUUUACCUAUUUUUUCCUGUUUGCCUUAAUUACCUCUACGAUUUCUUUUUCUACUCCACAACUUCCAUUGUUGCUCAACCUUCUUUGUCCUAAUUAUAAUUUAUGGGAUAAAUAUGUCAAAUUGAUGAUUUAAAAUAAAUUUUAAGUUAAUUUUAUCAAACAACCUUAAUACUUAAAGUAAAAAUUAAAUAAUAAAUUUUAAGUCAACUAUUUAAGUAUAAUUUAAUUUAAAAUCAACUUAGACAUGUUAUUAAGUAAUAAGUAUUAAGUUUUACCAAACAUCUCUUUAGUCUUUUUUUUCAACAAAAGUUUAAAUUCGAGAACCAUAUUCAGUUACCUUAAGUAUAAUAUAGUAACAUAAUAAAACAUAAAUUAAUUGUCUUUGAAAAUUAAAUAUUCGGAAGCCAAAAGAAAGCACCAGGAAAGUAACAAUAAAUUGUACCUUUGACCCAAAAGACUAGAGAAAACAAAAUUUGUAACUUAUUCUUUUGUAUAUGUGCAAUUCUUUCAUUCUUGUUGUUUAAUUUUCUCAAUCCUAACUAAUAUAUCAAACACAUUAUGUUUUGUAAAUUGUAAUGACUUCUUUUUAAACUUAAAAUUAUUCAAUUUUCAUACUUUUUUAAAACCACAAUCAGAUAUAUAUCUAAUAAAUUAAAGUUUAGUUUAUUUAGUUAUUUUGUCUCCAAAUACUAUCAGAAACACUCAACCGAUGACAAUCAUACAACAAGAUCACAUGGGGACAAGAAACAUAUUCAUAAGCUCUUAUUAUUUUGUAGAUUUAUAUUGAACUUUGCUAAAAAUAUAGCUUAAGACAAGAAGUGUUGGAUUGUGAAAUUUGAAACAAUUUUGUUGUACUUCGCUCGAGAUGUCAGGGGUCAAGUUGUUCGGUCAACACGUGGGGGUCGAGCUCUCCGCUGACUGGUUAGCUCACGAGGGUUGAAGGUGAUAACAUCCCUUGGAGAAUUUAUUUAUUUAUUUUAUGUGAUGAUUGAUGAGUUUGUCUAUAUUAUAUAUUUAACCUUUAUGUUUAAGGUUUUGUCUUUUAGAGAAUGCAGUCGUAAUUAAGAAGGUUAUUCCAAAGUUUUACCAUUGUAGCUCUUCUCAUUCAUUUUGAUUAAUGGAUUGUUGAGUGUUGGUGCACUCAGUAGACCUAGAGAUCAUAUUGAUCAUUGAAUUAUAUUAAAAAUCUUAUCUUUUUCUUUAUUUUCUACUCCUGUGUGUGCAUAGUUUCGUUAACAGGAAGUGUUGGAGCUGUUAAAACUCUAGCAUAAUAUUAACAUGAAGCAAUAGAGGCAAGGAGGUAGAAAUCAAAAUAGGUAGCGGCAACAUAUGUGAAGCUAACUGGUUCAAAUUGGGUAAUAGGAGUGGUUAUGAAACAAGAAUCGCCAUUCUUGGUGAAGGUGGAGGAAUCGGGAUUUUGUACAGCUUCAAAUCCACUACAAGCUAACUGCACAUGUGUCUGAGCACAAAAACAGUCGGUGGAUAAUGUCAACUUCCACCCUGGUUUCCUUGUACAGUUUUCCCUGUUGCACUUUGCUUUAUACUCAUAUCAUUUCAAUAACCAACCAUAUAACCACCUCAAGUAGUAACUGUUUUCUGUGCUUUAAACAUUAAAAACAUGAAAACAAAAACUGCACCAGAAAAGAAAUGUUUUCAUGAAUAUAUGCCUUUUUGAAACAAAUCCUGGAUAUAUUUUGGACAAGCUGUUUUCUGUGUUUGAAAAUUUAAAAACAAAACAAAAAAAAAUAUGUCAAGUGAUACAUAUUUCAAAAGUAGUGUUUAAAAACAUUUGGAGAUGAGAUUUUACCUAAAAGGCUUGACUUGCCCUAACAAGCCAUGUCUUCCUCUUCAAAAAUAAAUAAAUGAAUAAGAAAAAAAAAAAAAGACCUUUGAUAACUAACCCUUUCAUUUGUGUUCUAUUUUGAUUUCAAUCAAGCUAAUACCACAUAUUUUAUACUAUGGUGCAAUCAAAUCAUCCCCUUAGUUCAUGGCAUCCGUGUUUUCCACUAUCUCUUAGGUGGAAAAAAAUCUGCUGAAAAAAAUUAAGGAUGAUGAAGAAAACAAAAGUCCUAUCUUGCAAUAUCAGUUAUGGAUCCACAAUGACAAAUAUGUUAUUUAACGAAUACUUGGAACCAUCAAAGAAGAUAUUUUUAGCAUGAUCUUUGGUGUUGAUACAGUAUAUAAGGUAUAAAAUUCUCUUAAAGAGUAAUUGUUCUGAGUAAAAAUGAAAAAAGAAAAAAAAAAUCUGAAAAAUAUGUUGAUGACUUAAAGAAGAAAGGGUCAUGAUCUCUUGAAGAAUAUUUAAGAGACUUUAAAAAUAUAUCGAACAGUCUUGCUGGAAACAAAAUCUAGACCACGACAAAGUUUGUCAUUCCGCAUAUGGCUUAAGACAAAGGUAUGGAUUUUUUAUUUUAUUUUUUUGCACUUACUAUAUAUGUUCUUUUAGCCAAUUCAUAUUAGCUCUUUAAGGAUAUAAGCUAUCUCACAAUCAAAAAGGAGAAGCGAAAAUGUUCCUAGAGUAUGCACAAAUUUUUAUUUGGACACUGAUACAAUCAUGGUUAGGAUGGUUGAGGAGACAAUUUUCAAUUUGAGGGGAAGAGUGCUUCACAAUUCCUACAUGUUACAAUUAUUAUUUUUUUAAGAAGAAUUUAAUAUUUUUAUCAAGUUUUUGUUAAGGGAUGUCUUCACCAUGUUUUGAGGUAAGUUAAGCGUCCAUAUUCAUUCCCUCUUAACCUUGAGGGAAUAUAUUAAGGGAAAGAAUGAAAGAUGACAAAGGACAAUUGACUCCACAUUCAAUUCAAAUUUCUUUUAUCAUUAUCUUUUGUGUUCUGUCUCUUUACUUUUUCAACCAAGAGUCUAAUACCAAUUUUUAUUAUUAGUAUAAUCUCAUAAAUGAGAGAGAAUCAUUCCACUAUACCAUGCAUAAUAUUAUAGAAGACAAAAUUCAAAUACAACUAUUGAGUUCUCAAAACAUCCAAUAUUUCUUCACUCCUUGUAUCUACACACUAAACCACAAACUCCUCCACUCCAUCAUAAUCAACCUUUAAGCAUUACUUUGUGACUUGUGAAACCUCUAAAAAAAUUUGAUCCAAUGAUAAUGUAUUUAUUUUAUUAUCAAGAGGAUAUAACUUUAAAUAAUCAUGAACUAACAAGAGAGUGCCAAAAUUGUAAGUUCUAAUCAAAAUCUUCCAAAUUGGGUCAUAAUUUUUUAAAAAUACUCUUAUUAAUAAAGUAUAUUAAUUUAGUAUAUUUUUAUAAAUUAUUUAAUUUAUAAUUCAUAUAAAUUUAAAGUCUUUACUAAGUUAAAUAAGUCAAAUUAUAUAUAUCGAGUGUGUCAUGAUUGUGCUUGAGUAAUAUUCACAUAAAUGGCUUAUUCAUAACAGUUUGAUUUUUUAUUUAAUCUAAAACAAACAACAAUUCAACCUAUUAAUUAAAUGGCUUAUUACAUAUAUAACAAAGGAGAUCUGUUUGUGUGAAGAAAAUCUAGAUGAUUAAUAUUAGAAAUAGUUUUAUGUUGAUUAAUUUAUGACUUUUAUCUUUUACACAUAACAUGACUCAAUUGUCACCCCUUAUGAAACUUGAAUGAUGAAUUAGUUCAAACUUUAGUUGACAUUUUUUUUUUUAGCUUUUUGCUUAAACGAAUUUGUUUUCACAUUUCAAAUUGUUUGUUUUUUCACAUUUUGACUUAUUACUUAAUUCUUAAUUUUUUUGAAUUGAAUAUAAAAUAUCAAAAUAUUUGAUUUUUUUUUUUAAAUGCUAAAAGUAACAUAUUGGUUUUUUUUUUACUUUUUAAUACUUAAUAAAAAUAAAACAUUAAAACAAUAAACAAUUUAAUACUUAACAUAAUUAAGCACUAUUUAGCUUUAAGUUCUAUUUAACUUAAGUUAAAACAAAAAACAAAAAAAAACCAAACAAACAAACAUCACCCUUAACAAAAGUUUACAAUUCAAAAACUAUAUUCAAUUACUUUAAGUAUAAUAUAUCACUUAUAAGGUUUGACAUAAUAAAAUGGAAAUUAAGGAUCUUUGAAAUCAAUUAUUUUGUGGCCAAAAGAAAGCACUGAAGGUAACAAUAAAUUGUACCCUUUGACCCAAAAGGGUAAAAGCAAAAAUUGUAACUUAUUAUUUUGUAUAUGUGUCAAUCCAUUCAAUCUUAUGUUUUUUGGUUUUCUCAAGAUUUUAUUUUUGUUCCUAUUUCAUUUCUUCUUGAAUAGGAAUGAAUUUGAUUAGUUCAAUUAUUGUGUUUGAAUGCAUAUAGGAAUAUAAGGUUAGAAUGAUUAUUUAUUUUCAUUUAAAUGUUUGGUAACAAUGAGAAUAUGAAUGAAAAAAAAUUACAAUACUAUCUUUUCAUGUAGUUUAAAAUAAUUUUAAUUUUUUAUUAAAAAAAAACACCAUUUGUUUUGGAUAAAUAAUAAGAUUAAGAAAAUAAUAUUUACUUGUUAAAUAAAAAUUAAGAUGUUAUAUAUCAUUUCUUAUACUAAGGGAAUCAAAAUGCAUCCUUGUUAAUUGGAUUAUUGUAAUGACUUCUUUUUAAACUCAAAAUAAUUCCAUUUUGCAUAACUUUUUAAAAUAUCAAUCAGAUCUAUAGCCAACAAACCAAACCAAAAUCUCAAAAAGUAUUAGGGAAAGAAAAAAAAAUGAUAAGGAAAAUUAUUUUUCAUAUUUGAAAGAAAGUUAAAUAUAAUUAAAAUUAUUAAAAAUUUUAUAUAUUUUUAAAUUAUUUAAUCUAUAUAUGGAACAAAUAAAUCUGCGAAAAAGUUUGAAACAAUAUAUAAAAAUAAUGUAUUAACUUUAAAUCCAUCUUUUUAUUUUUUAUUUCCUUCUACUUUUUCUCUCUAUUUUCUUUCCCUCUAGGAACCAAACAUAGCCUAUAAGAAACACUCUAACUCAUCACAAUCAUACAACAAGAUCACAUGGGUGUUGAUACCUCGAGUCCCUGACGAUCCACGCAGUUGCUGAAUGGGUGGACACGUGAUCUCAACCUUCAAAGGUUCUUGAUUCAGUCGUUGUACCUGCAAAAGACGUCCGGACAGGGUGUCCGGGCGCACCCUCCGAUAGUUUUGUUAGCCAUGGUUAGAGAGGGAGAUAUAGAUCAGUUGGCCUUUUACUAGGUAUCAGGGGAUUACCCUCCUCUUCGUGUGAAGGUUUAUAUAUAUAGUGUUAGGGACACUGUUCCUCUCAUUAAUGGUGAGGAGAUAUUUUAUGUUGUUAUGAUGACAUGAGGUGGCAGCAUGGUCAUCGCCACCCUACGGGCGGCUGUCAGAAACCGUGGUAGGUGAUGCUGCUGUCAGAGAUCGUGGGAGGUGAUCAUGUUGAAUGAUCGUGGGAAGUGACUUGUUGUCACCUCAUCCCGUCUUUUCAUUCUGCAGGUGAUGGGACGUGGGUCAUGGCUGAUUGUUGUGAUAGCGUGUAAGACUCGCUUUACUUUAGUCAAUGAUCCGGUCAUUUAUAUCCGGAUGACAUAUGUUGAUUAUCCGGAUGUAUAUUGUAAAUCCGUCCGGAUGCUAUGUUUACAAGUGUCGUUUGAUCUUCCUUGACGCGGUCCGGAUAAGAGAAGCUGAAACGCCGCUUGUACUUUCUUGAGGCAGUCCGGAUAGGAGAAGCGCAUCAUGUAUAUCUUUAGGGAAAUCCGGGUGAUGACGAUCCGGCUGAUAAUGCGUGCCAUGUGUCACUGUGAGAUGCGUACCAUGUGUCUCGGAGGGAGGGGUCCCUACAAUGCCCCCCUUUUUAACUUGCCUAUUUUGCCCGAGCAAGAAUGGGUGGGUUAAAAAAUAAUUGGUUUUUUGAAACCGGAGUCGACCUUUUGUUUGGUUGGGCCACGUGGUGAGUGGGGGUGCGGGAGCCCAAAAAGGCAUUUAUGACGAGCCGCCGACUCUGGGUAUUCCCAGGCAGCAUGUCAUUUUAAUGAUGGCGUUUGUUGGGCGUUUGGCUUUCCGAGGGGCUGUCCCCCUAUAAAUAGCGUACUGUGCCUUCUUUUUGCUUUUUCCUACUGCAUUCGCCUGAGAGUCUUUUGUUGUUACUUCUUCUUCCUCUUGUGCUUUCCUUUGUUUCUCUGAGAGAAAUUUUCGAAAGUUCUUUUGUGCCGGUGAUUUUGUAUCGUGACAGCAAUUUUUCUUUCUCAGAGCCUUAUUUGGUACGUUCAUCUUUGCUUUUGUCGUUCCUUUUGUUGCGCUUGUUGGUUCAUUAGUCUUGGUUUCUGAUUUGUUUGGGUAUUGUUUGGGUAAGUUGCUUACAACUGUUUGUUGAAUGUUGGCAUUUGUUGGUGCUCUGGGGGUUUUUUAAGGGUUCCCGUUGCCCCCCUGUAUUUUUUGUGGGUUGGGGGUUUCUUGUUGGGGUAGAGUCAAGGAUUUUGGAAUGGGUACAUUGGUGGUGCGAGGUUUUCUGAGUGUUGUUAUUGUUUAGGGUUUGUGGGGUUGGUUGGCUGUGUUUGACUGUUGCACUUCUUGUAUGUAGGUUUCGGUUCAAUCCUCGGCCUAAAAAUGUCUUCAAAGAAGAAAGCUGCUUCAUCUGCCCGGGUUGGCGACGCUCAUGAGAAAUCUACAGACAAUCUGAGCGUAAAGGAGUUCGAGGAUCGAUUAUGUAUCCCAAAUAGCGUGAUUGUGGACUUUGUGAAUGGGAAGGAUGCCAUGUCUACGGAGAAAGCUGAAAAAAAUGUCAUCAUCUUCACAAAGGAACAAUUCAAUGCGGGGCUCCGGUUCCCUCUACCGGCGUUGUUCAAGGAAUUCCUCCAUUUCACCCAGAUUCCACCCGCCUUCAUUCAUCCCAACAUCGUCCGGGUGCUGAUGGGAUGCAGCAUCAUAAAUAUGCUGUACAACCUCGACCUUACGAUGCUGGAGGUGUUUUUUGUCUACUCGCUGAAGAAAGCAAAAACUGACAUCUUCAGCAUGUCCGCUCACCUACCCUCCCUUCAAUUGGUGACGGAGCUGCCAAACUCGACGAAGGGAGGGGCGAAGGGAUACGUAUCGGUCCGGGGUGCAUGGGCGGGGUUAUCAGGGCGUCCGGGGAGGCCCUUCGCUCCCAACUACUCCUUAGAGAUUCCGGGUAAGUUUGCUUUGCCACUUUUGUCCGGAUUUUACUUUGUUGUCUUUUGUUGAUCUUCCCGGAUGGAAUUCUUAUCCUUUGUUGCUGUCAAUGUAGGUCCGGAAAAAAGGGGCCACCUCAUGGACUGGGUGGAAAAGGCGUCUUUUGCCUGUCUCAGCAAACUUUUUGAGAUAGACGCCAAGGAGAGGCACUACAAGACGCUGCUUUCUGCGCGGAAUUUAAUGGCGGUCGUCCGGGAGUCGCAGGAAUAUGUUGUCAAUAUUCUCCCCAGGAAAAUGUCAAAGGAGGUGGUGCCUGGGGAGCAUUAUACUGUGAAGGAUCUCCCGAUAUACCAGGAGUUUAAGGAGGUUGACGCUGAAAAACGCCGAGCACUCCUGGAUAAUCGGGAGAAGAAAAAGAACGAAGGAACCCUUCGGAAGGCUCCCGAACAGAAACGCGACGCAGACUCUCCUCCAAAGAAAAAUCCAGCGAAAAAGAGAAAGCUGGUGAAGAAUGGGAAAGGAGUGAAGGAGCCCACUCCUCCCAAAGAAUUUGUCCCUCCUCCGCCAAUUACUCACGAGGCGGAGGUAUUGAUAAAGGAGCCAGUGAACCCUGCUUCUCAUUCCAUCUCAAGCGGAUCCGGACACGUCGCGGGGCUGAACCACUCAAGCACCUCCUUGGCAGCGGUUGUCCGUCUGGCUAAUUUGGCUGAGGAAGCUGCGUCCAUCAACCAUCCGGACUCCCCUAAUACGGAUGCCGAUGCAGCUGAGGCCAUUUGUGCGACCCCCAUGGAGGAAGCAGAGGCAGAAAUCCAGAGUCAGCCCUCUGACGAUCCGGACCGUUUGGCUCUUGUUCUGGUGAAGGGGCUACCUUCAAAGAGGUCGCGCUCGGCGCGCAAUCUAAGGUCCGGACUCAUCGGGCGGCUUCAAGAUCAUCAGCAAGAGAUCGAAGUUAGUUGCGCAUCCGCCCAAGACGCUCCUCCGGAGGGGGGUGAAGUAGAGGUGGCAACUGAGAUUUCAGCCGUCCCCAGUGAUGGUCCCGGAUGAGGUUGCACCCGGUGAGACCCAUCCGGCCGUAAAUGUUGAGGCCCUACACCUGGAACGAAAGUCACCUUCUGCUGCUUCAUCCGGGGGGGAACUUGUUAAUGACGCCGCUUGCUCCUCUGCUAGCUCUUUUAGCUACGCGGAGUUGGAAGAUAAGCUGAAACAAAUUCCACCCGGCUCGCCUGACAUCCUGCCCUCAGCCAAGAUGUUCGAGAUGGUGGAAACGGUAAACUGUUGUUGUGCUUUUCGAUUCUUUUGUGUUGUUGUGGUAUGAUUUAUAACUUGGCUUUGCUUGUUUGUGUGUCAGCUGGUGAGUGGUCUCCGCGGCAUGGCCCAACAACACGAUCUCUUUUCUGACCUGCUGCGGACCACUGAUUAUAUGAAGAUCUUCGCCUCUCGGCAUAAAGAAAGUGAAAACCAAUUGCGCCUGAGGCUGGAGGAGGUUGAAGCCAGCUUAUCCAUCUCUCGAGAGGACAACGAAGCCCUCCGGGCGGAUUUGGCUGAGGCUAAGAGCUGGGAGGAAUCAUCAUUCACCCGUCUGUGUGAGUCAGAGGAUGAGGUGGCCCGAUUGAGGGCGGAGGUGAGGCAACUCCGGACAGAGGCUUCUAUUGAAAAGAAGCAGAAAGAAGAUUUGCAGUUGCGCUUAUCAGCGCAAAAAGAAGAGCUAGAGCGGGAGUUUGCUGCAGAGAGGGAGGAGCUUGAAGCGGACUAUCAAAAGCAACUGGAUGAUACCUUCAUCUUUGGCUAUCGCUGUUGUAUGAAGAAGAAUGGCAUAAAGCGAGACGUCCCUUCAAUUCCUCCGGGUGAAGAGAAGAAACUUCAUGACAAGCCCGCUCCCUGAUAGCUUUUCUUUUUGCAAUUUCUUCUGUAAUCUUCUUUCUGUAUUUUUUGUGGUCCGGAGACCUCUUUGUACAUAUACUGACAUAUAUCAAUAAAACAAUUCUUUUCCCAUUUGUACUUGUCUUGCUUUUUCAUUGAUAGUACUGUUUUAAAUUGGAAACGUUCCAUGGUCUAAGUAAUGGAGUUCCGUCUAACUUUUGUAAAUGAUAGGCUCCACUUUCACUUGCUUUAGACACUAUAUAGGGUCCUUCCCAGUUAGCUUGGAACUUGCCUGCGCCCAUUUCAGCAGUGUUUUCAAAAACUUUUCUAAGGACUAGCGUACCAUCUUUGAAGCUUCUGGGCUUUACUUUGCGAUUGUAGUGCGCGGAUGCUCUCUGUUGAUAGUCUGCCAUCCGGAUGGCUGCACUUUCUCUUACUUCAUCCGUCCAAUCCAAAUUUCUUCCUAAUUCCAUGUUUGCAUCAUUCUGCUUUGCUGCGUCAGUCCGGAUAGUAGGGAGACCUAUUUCAGUAGGAAUGACUGCAUCCAUUCCGUAUGCGAGGGCGAAAGGAGUAUUUCCUGUUGGUCGCCCGGGUGUGGUUCGGUAGGCCCAUAGGACGCCAGGCAGCUCCUCCACCCACUUCCCUUUGGCUUGUUCAAGCCUUUUCUUUAAGGCAGUGAUUAGGGUCUUGUUUGUAGCUUCUGCUUGCCCAUUGCUUUGAGGAUAUCGCGGUGUGGAGUAUGAAUUCCGGAUGUUCAGCUCCGAACAGAAAUUCCUGAAUGCGAUGCUGUCAAAUUGUGGACCAUUGUCAGCUAUGAUGGUUUGGGGGAUUCCAAAACGGCAAACAAUGUUUUUCCAUACGAACUUGGUGACAUCCUUGUCUUUGAUACUAGCAUAUGCUUCAGCCUCCACUCAUUUACUAAAGUAAUCAGUGGCAACAAGGAGGAACUUUUUCUGAGCAGGCGCUGCUGGGAAGGGUCCCACUAUAUCCAUGCCCCACUGCGCAAAAGGCCAUGGGCCUAAAAUUGAUUUCAACGUUGCUGAUGGCAUAUGCAGAAUGGGAGCAUGCCUUUGACAUUUAUCGCAUUUUUUGACAUAAGUUGCCGCGUCCUGCUUCAUUGUUGGCCAAUAGUAUCCUUGCGAAUGAGCUCUAUGUGCCAGAGAUCGUCCUCCCGAAAGAUUCCCGCAUAUUCCCUCAUGCAACUCAGCUAACACAUACUGGAUCUCUGAAUGCCCUAGGCAUCAAAGGUAAGGUCCUGUGAAGGAUCGCUUGUACAGGUGCCCCCCAAUCAGGGUGAAACGAGCAGCUUGCACCCGGACUUUGUGUGCCUGUUUGAGAUCUCCGGGUAGAGUGCAUGUCCGGAUAUAUUCUGCAAUGUCAUAGGUCCAUUCUUGGCCAUCCGCUUGGGGUACCUCAAUGGUAUUGCAGGUGGAAAUUUCUGCGACGGAGGGGUUAGGUUGCACAUGUAUAGGCAAUAGAAUGGCUUCUUUGAUAGAGAGGGAGGCGACUAUGCCGGCUAAGGCGUCCGCGCGCUCGUUGUCAACUCGCUUGAUUUUUUCAAUUGUCCAUUCGGUGAAUUGCUGCAAGGUGUUUCUUACUUUAGCUAAGUAUCGUGCCAUGCGUGCGUCAUUAGCCUCAUAUUCCUCCUGGACAUGCUUUACCACGAGUUGUGAGUCGCUAUAGAUCCGGAGUUUGGAGACGGAUAGAGUAAGGGCAAGGUCCAAUCAGGACAAGAUGGCCUCAUAUUCUGCUUCAUUGUUAGAGGCAGAAAAUCCAAGCCGGAUGGCUUGCUCCAAAUGUUCCCCAGUUGGGGACUGUAGUAGGAGCCCAACUCCAGAGCCUGAUGAGCGUGAGGCUCCGUCAACUCGUAGAGUCCACCAUACUUGUUUACUUGAUUCGUGGUGUUGGUUGGGUCUUCGGGAAUAUUCUAGCACGAAGUCAGCCAUUACUUGGCCUUUCAUGGACAAUCUGGGUUGGAAUUCAAUUCCAAACUCUCUUAACUCGAUGGCCCAUUGUAGCAUUCUCCCGAUUAAAUCUGGCUUGUGCAGAAUGCUGCGAAGGGGCUGGUCAGUUUGUACAAUCACUGGAUGAGCUUGGAAAUAAGGGCGGAGCUUCUGGGCAGCGCUUCGAAGGGCUAAGGCUGUUAGCUCCAUUUUUUAGUAUCUGGUUUCUACGUCUACCAAUGCCCUGCUGACGUAGUAGAUAGGCUUCUGCUCCUUGGGUGAGGGGUAGUGGAAUAGAACGGCGCUGAUUGCCCAUUCUGAUACCGCCAGAUACAUGUACAAUUUUUCCUUUGGGAUGGAGCUGCUCAAGAUGGGUGGUUGCGUAAGACAAUGCUUAAUCUUUUCGAAAGCGUUUUGGCAACUGUCCGUCCAUCCGUGCGCUCCAGCUUUUCGUAUUGCCAAGAAGAAGGGUCGCAAUUCAUCAGUGAAGCGGGCUAUGAAACGCCCUAAUGCAACGAGCUUGCCUGUGAGGCGUUGCAACUCCUUCUUGUUCCUGGGAUGGGGUGUUUCCAUGACUGCCUUAACUUGAUCCGGGCUGACUUCUAUGCCCCUUUGGCUGACCAUAAAUCCCAGAAAUUUGCCAGCACUUACACCAAAGGCGCAUUUAGAAGGGUUUAGCUUCAUGUCAUACUUUCGUAAGAGGUGAAAAACUUCUUGUAAGUGGAGGACAUGCUGCUCUCGGGUUUUGCUUUUAACCACGAUAUCAUCAAUAUAUACCUCAACCGUGUGGCCUAUCAGAGGUUUGAAGAUUUUAGUCAUCAAUCUUUGAUAAGUGGCGCCAGCAUUUUUGAGUCCGAAUGGCAUGACUUUGUAGCAAUAGAGGUCGUGUGGCGUUAUGAAUGCUGUCUUUUCUUCGUCAUCCGGGGACAUGGGGAUUUGAUGAUAUCCGGAGAAGGCGUCCAAGAAAGAGAGCAUCCCUUGCCCGGAAGUGGAAUCCACAAUUUGAUCUAUUCGUGGCAAGGGAAAACUGUCUUUUGGACAUGCAUUGUUGAGAUUGGUGUAAUCUACACAAACUCGCCAUUUUCCUUCUUUUUUGGGUACCACCACUACGUUUGCCAACCAGUCUGAAUAAGAUACUUCUCUGAUGAAUCCGACUUCUAGCAAUUUGUCAACCUCAUUCCGGAUAACUUCUUGUCUAUCCGGGUGGAAACGUCUAAUCUUCUGCCAGACGGGUCUGGCAGCUGGAAAGAUGUUAAGCCUGUAAGAUGCAAUAGAGGGAUGGAUUCCCUUCAUAUCAGAAUGUGUCCAUGCGAAAAUGUCAUGGUUUCGUCGGAGGAUGUUUUGCAUGCUCUGAGUUUCUUCUUGUGUCAUGAGGGAACUGAUGUUCGUGAGGUGAGUGUUUUCCUUCGAAAUUUGGAUUGUUUGCAAGGGGUCCGCUGUCGGGGGAUCUUUGUCCGCCGGACCCAAUAAUUGCUAUUGGUCAUGUGUAUGGCUGGGUUCAGGGGGAAAUACAUCUUCCUGGUUGACCCCUGCUUCGCGUGCUAUCUGAUAGCAUUGGCGAGCGGCUAAUUGGCUGCCAUAUAGGUCGAUUUGGCCAUCGUUGGUGAGAAAACUCACCAUUUGAUGAUAUGUAGAGGGGAUAGCUUUCAUGUAGUGGAGCCAUGUGCGCCCCAAAAUGACAUUGAAGGGUGAUAACUCCUGAACUACUGAAAACUGUACGUUGAGAGUGACUGGGCCUGCUUGGACCGGCAGUACAAUGUCUCCCAAGGAUGUAGUUGAAGACCCGCUGAACCCGGAUAGGAUUCGUCCAGGGUUUUCGAGGCCUGUGAGACUGUGUCCCAUGUGGCCAACGACCGAUGCUUGCACAAGAUCGGCCGAACUGCCUGGGUCAACCAAGAUACGCCACACAUCGAAGUCCCCAAUUUCCAGGGACAAGAUGAGGGCGUCGCGAUGUGGUUGUAGUGUCCGGGUGGGAUCCACUGGUGGGAAAAUGAUUGUCUCAUCUAUGGGGCGAGGGCCCCCUCUAGUUAGCCCAGGCCGGAUGGAAUUGAUGCGUUCGCGUAUUGACGCGGCCCGCAACAAUUUUUGUCUCUUUCGCCUAGAGUCGUACUCCUCGUCAGAUGGACCUCCGUUAAUAUAGUUUAUAACGGCCUUGGGGGCAGCUGGGGCCCUGGGGACUCCAGGAUUGUGAUGUUGAGAAGUGAUUCUUCCUUCAGUAUCUGAGCGGAGGUAUUGCUUCAAAUGCCUUGCCUUUAUGAGCCUCUCGACCAAAUACUGGAGAGCCCGGCAUGUCUCUGUUGUAUGGCCAUGAUCCUUGUGGAAGGCACAUCUCUUACUACGAUCUCUUGUGGAUGGGUCCGUUCCGAUGGGUCUAGGCCAUUUGAAGUCGGACAAGCCCUGGAUCAUUGGGAGAAGUUUCUCAUAUGAUAUGGAAAGAGGUGUGAGAGGCGGCAUUUCCGGGCGACUUGGCCCUUCCUGCCUUCGAUCAGACGGCUUUGACCGAUCCGAAGGUUUAGUAUUUCUCUCCGCAUUACUUCUAGAUGGCCUUCCGGCAACCAAAACUUGCUGGGUGGCUGCACGUACGUCAUCUUCGAGCAUUGAAUAUUUGUUAGCGCGCUUGAAUAAGUCAUCCAUUGUUGUAGGAGGUUUUUUAGCCAGUGAUUCGAAAAAUGGAGUGCCUGGACAGAUGCUUCGUUUGAAGAUCUGUAGGACAGCAUCCAUACUACAAGCCUCUACUUGAAGCACGGCUUGGCCAAACCGCUUCACGAAUUCCCUCAAGGAUUCGUUAUCUUGCAUUUUUAUGUUCUGCAGGGUGCUGAUAUUUUGCUUGUGUCGAGCGGAGCACAAGUAUUGUCCCACGAAAGCUUCGGACAGGUCCCUGAAAUUGCCAACAGAGUUGGAAGGUAGGCGAUGAAACCAUGAGAGGGCCUGUCCUUGUAGGCUGGCGGGAAAUACUUUGCAUAGUAGUGCAUCGUUGCCAAUAUCGAGCGUCAUGAGCUGUCGAUAAUGCAUGAUGUGAUCGAAGGGAUCAUUGGAUCCAUCGUAUGUGGAAAAUUUUGGCAUGAGGAAUCCCCUUGGGGGCUCGUAAUUAAUGAUAUGAGAGCAGAAAGGCGUGGAGAGCAUGUCAUCCAGCCUUUUGCUGAUGGAGCCAAUGGGUGGCUCGUUUGGGAUGUUUCUCCCAGUUGGUUGUUCCGCUGGGCGUGAAUGAACGUUCCGCAUCAGGGGGUGACUACGGGGUCACGAUGCGGGUGCACGUUCUAUACCAUAGGGGUGACCACAGGGUCAGGGCGUGGUGCCCAGGUUGUGACCACUAGUGGCCUUGAUCUCCCAGGCUCUUGCGGGCCUAGUCUUGCGCGCAUCGAAUUUGACAACUGGGACUUUUUAUCACGUUGUCUCUUCGCUGAAAAGUGAGUAGAGUCUGAGUUUUCCUCACGAGGUGCUCGAGGCAUAGGCGUGCGUGGCUCGUGAGGCCUUAUGUUGCAUGCUCCUGGGACAGCUCCUGUUGUCCCAGGAUAUAUCGAUUCUGGUUCUUGUUGAGGCCUUGAGUUUGCUACUUGGCUCCUUGAACGCUGACAUCGAGAAGGCCCUGAUGUUGAAGCCUGGAUGCGUAAUACCGCAUUUUCUUCUCUUAAUCUUUCUGUCUCCUGGAGGAGAGCUUUCAGUUGUCUUUCGCUUGCCAACUGUCUCCUUUCGAUGGCUAAACGCCAUUCAAAAUUAUCUUCCACUCCUCUACCAGAUGAUUGGCUUCGGGAAGGUGUGGCCAUCUUUGUAAGUGACUGAAUCAAAUGAAAAUAAAGUUUUCCCACAGACGGCGCCAAUGUUGAUACCUCGAGUCCCUGACGAUCCACGCAGUUGCUGAAUGGGUGGACACGUGAUCUCAACCUUCAAAGGUUCUUGAUUCAGUCGUUGUACCUGCAAAAGACGUCCAGACAGGGUGUCCGGGAGCACCCUCCGAUGGUUUUGUUAGCCAUGGUUAGAGAGGGAGAUAUAGAUCAGUUGGCCUUUUACUAGGUAUCAGGGGAUUACCCUCCUCUUCGUGUGAAGGUUUAUAUAUAUAGUGUCAGGGACACUGUUCCUCUCAUUAAUGGUGAGGAGAUAUUUUAUGUUGUUAUGAUGACAUGAGGUGGCAGCAUGGUCAUCGCCACCCUACGGGCGGCUGUCAGAAACCGUGGUAGGUGAUGCUGCUGUCAGAGAUCGUGGGAGGUGAUCAUGUUGAAUGAUCGUGGGAAGUGACUUGUUGUCACCUCAUCCCGUCUUUUCAUUCUGCAGGUGAUGGGACGUGGGCCAUGGCUGAUUGUUGUGAUAGCGUGUAAGACUCGCUUUACUUUAGUCAAUGAUCCGGUCAUUUAUAUCCGGAUGACAUAUGUUGAUUAUCCGGAUGUAUAUUGUAAAUCCGUCCGGAUGCUAUGUUUACAAGUGUCGUUUGAUCUUCCUUGACGCGGUCCGGAUAAGAGAAGCUGAAACGCCACUUGUACUUUCUUGAGGCAGUCCGGAUAGGAGAAGCGCAUCAUGUAUAUCUUUAGGGAAAUCCGGGUGAUGACGAUCCGGCUGAUAAUGCGUGCCAUGUGUCACUGUGAGAUGCGUACCAUGUGUCUCGGAGGGAGGGGUCCCUACAAUGGGGACUAGAAACAUAUUCAGAAGCUCUUAUUAUUUUUUGGAGUUACAAUAAACUUUGCUUAAAAUAUAGCUGAAGACAGAAAGUCUUGGGAGUUGUUAAAACUCUAGAUUAAGAUUAACAUGCACUCUUAGAGGAAAUGAGGUGGAAAUCAUACAUGGUAUCCGCGACAUACGUGAGGGUAAUUGGUGAAAAUGCGCUCACAGAAAUGGUUACGGAACAAGUAUCACCAUACUUGUUGAAGAUGGUAGGGUCGGGCUCUUGUAUAGGUUCAAAUCCAGCACAACUUAACUUCAAAUUCAUUUGAGAACAAGGGCAAUCAGUAGUUAAUGCCAACUUCCACUCUGGUUUCCCUUGUACAGUAUUCCCUGUUGCACUAUUCUUUACACUCACUCUGUUGUCUGGACACAGCCGGAUGCACAGCAUACCUAUCAUUUCAAUGACCGACCAUAUAAGCACCCGAUGGAAUUAGCGGUUUUCUGUGUUUUAAAAAUUAAAAACACUAAAACAGAAACAGCACCGGAAACAAACAAACUGUUUUCUGUGUUUGAAAAUCUAAAAACAAAACAAAAAAUAUGUCAAAGUGAUACGUAUUUCAAAAGUAGUGUGUGAAAUCAUAUGGAGAUGAGAUUUUACCUUUCCCCAUUACAGUAAGGAAGAAAAUUAGACAGACAAAGUUGAUGGUAGAAACCAUUGUAACAAACAAGUCACUGGAUAUUCUGUUUGCUAUCUGGAGAUAAGAAAAAUGGCUGUUUUUUUGGUUAGUUAUAGAGAAGUUUUUAGAUAAAUAUGGCAAGUUAAAAUAUUUUUCUAUAUUUAUAUAUAUUCAUAUUAAUAUUUUUUAGGGAAAGUUUCAAAGUUUUACUUGUAAAGUUUUACUAAUAAAGUUUUACUAUAUUAAUAUUUAUAUUUUUUUUUUUUAAAUUUCUUGAACUUUCUAGGAAAUAAACUUAGUGUUAACACAAGGAAUGACAUGAUCAUUAAAGGUUUGACCAACCCUACCAAGUUUGUUUUUAGAUAAAUAUGACAAAUUAAAAUAUUUUAAUAUAUAUAUAUUAUUUUUUAAGGAAAAGUUUCAAAAUUUUACUAAAGAACAUCCAAUAUUUAUUUCCAUUGCCUGAAAAUAAUUUUAUGAUUUGUACCUUUAGCACAUAUCACGAUCAAUCAAUUGUCAACCCUUCAAAAAACUUUAAUGGUAAAUUAGUUGUACAUUUAGAAACUAAAUAAAAUGGAAAUUAAAUUUUUAAAAAUUAUGGCUAUGUUUGGUUUUAGGAAAGAAAAAAUGCUAAAGAAAAUAGUUUUGUAAUGUUUAGUUUCAUUAUGGAAAAUAUAAAAGAAAAUCAAACAUAAUUAAAAUUAAUUAAUUUUAUAUAUUUUAAAUUUAUUUAAUUUUUAUAUAAUAGAGAAAAAUAAGUGAAAUGGAUUUGAAAAAAUAUUUAAAAAUAAUUUAUUGAUUUUGAAUCUAGUUUUUAUUUUCCUUCACUUUUUCUUUCAUUCUUUUUUUCUUAUAUAUUUUCUUUCCUUCUCAUUUUCUCUUAAAUUUUUCAGGAACCAAACAUAACUUAAAUAUUUUGUAGCCAAAAGAAAGCACCAAGUAAUUGACACUAAAUUCCUUUUAAGUUAACCUAAUUUACACUAAAGACAUUUUGAAAAGGAUUUUAAGUUCUUCAUCUACCUUGUAUCCUUUCACCCAAAAGGUUGAUAAUAAUUGGUUUUUCCCCUCAAAUUUUCCAUAUACAAUCAAAAAAAAUUCUUUUCAAGAAAUAACCCUAUCCUCAAUAAAUCUUUUAAUUAGUUCAAUACAAGAUAUUCCACUAUAUCUUAUUCUAAUGUUCUAUAGUAUUGCCUUACAGUUAGCCUUACUUUGUGAUUUUUGAAACCUCUAAUAAAAAUUUGAUACAAUGAUAAUCUAUUUAUUGGUUACCAUCAGGAUAAACUUUAAAUAAGCUUGAACUAAUAAGAUUGUACUAAAAUUGUUAAUUCUAAUCAAAAUCUACCAAAAUGGGUCAUAAUGCAAGAGAAAACUAUACUUACAUCUAUACUAUCUAUAAAAGUACAAUAUGUUUUACACUUUUUUCCUUCCUAAAACACCCCUAUUAUAUCAUUUAUUUUUCUCUUUCCUCAAUUUUAUAAGUUUCUAAAUUAUUUUUAUUAUUCAAAUGUAACUUCCUCUUAUUAUUUAUUAUAAUUAUUAAUAUCAAAUUUAUUUGUGUAACAUCCAUUUAUUUAAUACCCGAAAACCCUUCCAUCUACACUACUAUUUGUGUAACAACCAUUUAUUUAGUAUCACAAACCCAUUUAACUUUUACUCUUAUUCUAACUAUUGAAAGAUUGAAUUGAUACUUAUCCUAAUUAUUUAUUUAUUUUUCUUUGGAUGUAUGUCAUUUUUUUAAUUAUUUAUUAUUUCAUAUGAAAAAAAUGAUUUUGUAUGUUGGUUGGUUAUAAAGAAAAAUGCGAGAUAUCUAUUAAAUUGAUAUGGUCUUUUGUGACUUACAAAGUAAUGAAGAUGAAUGAUUUUAAUGACUUUUUUUAUAAAAAAAAUCCUAUUAUAUUUAUUAUGAUUUAUAAAAUAAAUAAAUAAAUAAAUGAAUUUAAUGACCCUUUUUUUUCCCAAAUUUCUUUUAUUUUAUUUAUUUUACUUCUAUCCCAUUUUUAUUAGUUGAUAAUGAUAAGUUUAAAAAAAAUUACUUAUUAAGUUAUUUUAAAAUUGUAACAUCUUAUUAGUAUUAUAAUUACUAAUAUCAAAUAAAUUCACCCAUUACUAUUCAUUAUAAUCAUUAAUAUUAAAUUUAUUUUGACCAUUAUUAUUAAUAUAUGGAAUUUAUGUAAGUGACAUAUGUAUUAUUUUAAAAUUUUCUCAUUAUCUAAGUCUAAAAUCUCAUAUAAAAUUUAUUAAAAACCAUAUGAAGCAAGCCAAUUUAUAAUACCUUUCUAAGAAACCUUGUGAUAUGAAUAUUCUAUUAAAUUAACUCAUGAUUUAAAAUUUAUACUCAAACUUGGGAUUAAGUAUUAACUUGAAUUAUAUAUAUAUAUAUAUAUAUUUGGACUUUGUUAUUAACACAUUUUAUUUCUCUUAUUUUCGUUAGAUUUGGGGGUGAGGGUGGAUUAAGUAUUAAAUUGAGUUAAAUAUAUUUUUUUUUUUGGACUUUACUAUUAACAUAUUUUAUUUCUCUUAUUUUCAUUAUAGGCCGAGUGAGGGAAAUCUUUGUCAAUGUUUCCUCCUAUAGUCAAAUUAUUGAACUAUCUCUAUAAAAUAAAUUUUUUUCACAUAUAUUUUAUAUUUUCGUUAUUUAUUUGUACCUUAUAAUUUUUAAUAUUAAAUUUAAAUUUAUUAGUAUUUGACUCAACUUAUUAUCAUACUCAUUGUACAAUUUCUUAUUAUAUAUAUAUAUAUAUAUUCCUUUUCUUUUUCACUUUGUUCACUUUUCCAUUUUUAUUCAACCCCACGUAAUUAAAGGAGGAAAAAAAAUGACAAAUUUAUUUAAUAUACCAUAUUGAUGUGAUAAUAUAAAAUAAUUUAUGAUUAAUACAAAAUAAUAAACUAUAUUACUAAUGCACAAUUUAUUAGAUUAUUUUUAUGAAAUCCAUUCAAGUAAAUAAUAAAGUUAUUUUCAUCCUUAACUUUUAUAAGUAAAACUUUGUUAAAUAGCUCGUUGAUUGUUUAAAAGUGAAAAACAAUUUUUUAGAACAUAAGAUACACAUUAUUGAUUAACUGUACUUAUCAUCAAUGCGUAGAUCCCACAUUAUUGAUAAUCUCUAAUUUAUUUAUAGAUAAUAUAGAAAACAUAUUUAAGAGUAAAAUUGUCUUUUACAAAUUUUUGAGAUAAGUGAAACUUCUCAAUAAUUAUCACAUCUACCCCAUGGUAAUUCUCCCUUUAGUUUUGUAAAUCCUAAUGUCAAUGUCAAACUCUGCAUAUUUGGAAACUAGUUAAACCCUACAUCUUAAUUGGAUUUUAUUUUUUCUUUUUUUUUCCCUUUUUUGGAUAUUUACUUCCACUCGUAGAUGAAUUUGUAAUGAUUUAAAUAAAUAAAUAAAACCAACUUUAUUUUCACAACAGUUAAAAAGGCCUUCUCCUUCCUCCUUUUUUUUUUUNNNNNNNNNNNNNNNNNNNNNNNNNNNNNNNNNNNNNNNNNNNNNNNNNNNNNNNNNNNNNNNNNNNNNNNNNNNNNNNNNNNNNNNNNNNNNNNNNNNNUCCCAAGCAUAUAUAAAGCUAACUGGUUUAUAAUCGUGAACAGGUUGGUGCAAGGAACAAGUGUCACCCUCGUGGGUGAUGAUGUAAGAGGGCAGAUCUUCUACAGUCUGAAAUCCAGCACAAGCUAACUGCACAUCUGUUUGAGAACAACUGCAGUUAGUGGAUAAUGUCACCUUCCACUCUGGUUUUCCUUCUACCUUAUUCCCCGUUGGACCUUGAUCUAUCUCCACAUUGUUGCUUGGACAUUGGCACAUACCUAUCAUUUGGACAAUCAAUAAUAUAAGCAGUGGAAAUCAUUACUCAUGUUUUCUAUAUAUGUUUUUGAAAUUAAAUUGAGUUCAAAUUGUUUUCUAUGUUCUAUAAAAUUAACAAAACAAUUUCUUAGAAAAAAAAAUAGAAUAUUUAAAAACAUUUGCAGGCGAGAUUUCACCUUUGCCAAUCAGACUAAGGAAGAAAAUUAGGCAGACGAAUUUCAUGGUAGGAGCCAUUAAAACAGACUUGCUGGAUAUUCUUCUUCGUCUCCUCGGACAAGAAAAAUGGUUGUCUAUUUGGCUACUUAAAAGAGAAGUUUAGAUAAACAUGGACAAAAUAUUUAACUAUAUUUAUAUUUCUUUUUAAAGGAAAAGAAAAUCUACAAAUGUUGCACCCCAUUAAAUCCAUAAUCCAUUUCUCAAAUUUUCUGAAAAAUAAUUAUUAUUAUUUUAAGCAAUGAUUGGAAUGGAGGGAUUUAUGCUUAAAUUGGCAAGUUGUAAUUGAGGACAUUGAUAAAAAAUAGGGUAUGUUUAGACUAUUUCCUAUUUUAAUUUAAAAGAAAAUGGAAAUGAGUGGGUCAAAAACAUGUUAUGGUGGUAUUUUUCUAUCUUAAUUUUCUAGAAAUUGAGCUCAAAAAUGGGAAAAUGUUAUAUUACCCUAUAUAAUAACAUAUCUCAUGACAUGUCAUAUCCUAUGAAUUAUAAAAAUUUCUAUUAUUUUUUUCAUGAUCAUUUCAUAAAACUCAAAAUCAAGUAAGAUUUUACAAGUUUCAAUUUUUAAAGACAAAUUUUACUUAUUUUAAUAAAAAAAAAUACUUUCAAGAAAGAAAAAAAAGUACAAAAUAAACCUAUUUUUAAAAAUGAAAAUUAGAAAAAAUCUUCCAAACCAAACAAAACAUUACAUGGAAGAAUUUUAAAGUUUUCACUUUCUUAAAAUAAAUAGUGUAAUUUCAUGGAAUUUGGAUUUCAUUAAUUUCGUAGAGUUUACUUUUAAUAGGCACGAAGAUUUUCUUUUUCUUUUUCUUUUUCCUUUAAUCUACUUAACUCCAAUGUAGAAAGAAAAAAAGGAGAAAAAAAAGCUUGCUACACAGCCUACAAUUAUUAAUACAUUCUUUUAAUAUUUUGAAAAUAAGUCGACAUUUUCUAAGUGAAUUUUUUUCAUUAGUAUAACUAAUUUUGCCAGUGGGAAUAAAGACUUUUAUGAUUGGGUGAAUAUCGUUGCAUGAUAAUGGGAGAAAGGUGUAUUGCUAAAAGUCUAGCCAUGCAUGGAUUUUUUGCUCUUUUUUAUAAAUUUUUAGCAAUUGACUAUCCAACAUAUUCAUGUCGCUGCAAUUGCCAUCAAAUUAAGACACUCAGGAAAUGCUCUAUUUGCUACCACAACAAAUUGUCAUAUAUGAUUCAUUUAUGAAGCUCCAUACAUACCUAAAAUAUCAACUGAUUUUAAAGGAGCUCGAGGAGCUAAUAAUGAAACAAAAUCAUCAAUCUAAUCUAAUGUAUCAACACAUUACUUUUAGAAUUUAGAAAACUCUCCCAAAAAAGUUAUAAACGAAAACUAUUAUUAAGUGCAUGUGUAUGCAUUAAAAAAUAUAAUAAUUAAUUUUAUAUCAUAAUUGUAAUUAACUUUUUAAAAAAUUAAAUAAUAACUUUAAUGCAAAUGAAACUCACAAAUAAUUGGUAACAAUUGUAUAGCAGUUAUUGAGGCACAACUUUAUUACAAGUAUUAAAAUGGAAUUAUCUUUUGGGGGUAGAUGGGCCCUUAAAUUAACAAAAGGUCCAUAUAACUUCUUAAAUUGAGUUGAAGGAUAUGAAAUAGUAACGGACAAAUAUACCCUUUAAGAACACCUAUAAAAUAUUUUAUAAAAUUAAGUUAAAUAAUUUUUUUUCAAUAAUUUUUUUUUCAAAAAUACGAAAUUAAAUAAAAGUAGUUUUCAAAAAUAUUAAAUUAAAUAAUUUUUUUUUCAAAAAUAUAUUAAAUUAAAUCUUUUUUUCAAAAAUAUUAAAUUAAAUUAAAGUAUUUAAAAAAAAUUAAAUUAAAUAUUUUUUUAAAAUUUUAAAUUAAAUAAAUAUUUUUACAAAAAUAUUAAAUUAAAUUAAUUUAUUUUUAAAAAAUAUUAAAUUAAAUAAAAGUAUUUAAAAAAAUAUUAAAUUACAUAAAAGUAUUUUUUAAAAAUAUUAAAUUAAAUAAAAAAUAUUAAAUUAAAUAAAAGUAUUUUUCAAAAAUAUUAAUUUUUUUUCUCAAAAUCAACAAAGGGCAUUUUUGGAAAUAUUGAAGGAUGAUAUCCUUCAACUCAAUUUCCAUACUUUCAUUGGGUCUUGGGCUCAAUUUGAAAAGUUACAUGGACCUUUUGUUAAUUUGGGGGCUCAUCUACCCCCAAAACAUAAUUUUCCCUAUUAAAAUAGGAAAUAUCUUUAGAACAGGACUUAAAAUUUAAGAAUUUACUUAAGUCAUUGCCAAAAGGGAAUUGAUGAUGUGGGUGUGACCAUAACCCAUAUGAAAUACUUGGCUUAAAACUAACAUUAAUUUUCUAUCAAGGACAUGUAAAUUGGGAAGAGAGAAGCUUGAAUGGGAAUGAAUUAUCCCAAGCUUAGACAAGCUGAAUGGAGACAAAGCAAGAAAUGGCAAGCCAUUUUUUAUGAGACAUACACCACCAGUUUUGGUCAUGGCCUUUGGGUCUACAUUCUCCACCCUCUCAAACCCAUCACAUUCCAAUUUCAAGUUGGAUUGACUGCAUGUACAAUCAUGUGCAAUUUCUUUUCUUUUUUUUUUCUCAAAAUAAAAUAAGCUAAAACAUGAACUAUCAACAUAUGCAAAAGCUCUUAUAGUUUAAGGAAAAUUAUUCUCAUUUCAUUUAUUUAACUCUUCUAUAUAAAAAUUAAAUAAUUUAAAAAUAUGUAAAUUCUUGGGUUAUUUGAUUAAAAUGGUAAGUGAAAACUCAAAUUUUGAAAUUUAACCUUUUGUCCCUUUUUUUCUUCAUUUUGAGAAAAUUAUCCUCUUAUUUUCUUGUAAAAAUAACAUUUUGUUUGAAAACCUAAAUGUAAAUAUUUAAAAUGAUAAACGAUAUAUAUGUCAAAAAUUUGUUACUUUUCCAAAAAAAAAAACAUGAGAAAUAUUAUAUUCACAAUUUGAAAACUAUUUCAUCCCUUUUAACCAAAUAUUUCUAAAUUCUUAACUAAUUCUAAUUUUAUUUGACUUUUUUUCAUAUUUUGCGUAAUAAAACCAAAUAUAAGAAAAUCAUUUUCCUUAAUAUUUUUCAAAAACCAAACAUAGCCUAAAUUAAUUUUUAUAUCGUACUCAUUAUUAAUUUAAAAGUAAAAUGUAAAAUAGAAAUUUUAAUGAAACUCACAAAUAAUUGGGAUUUUUAUCACACGUAAUAUUUUUAAAUAAAAAAUAAUUUGUUUGAUAAAUCAAUUCAAUGAUUUAAUCCAAGUUAUUAAGCAUAUUAAAUAUAUUUGAUAAAAUAAUUUAAAAUUAAAAGUGAGUUUGAUAAAUCAACUUAAUGACUUACAAACUUAAUCAAAAUUUAAACCAUAGUCAUCAUAACCUCCAAAACUAUCCUUUAAAAAAAUAAUAUUAUAAUAUGGUUAUAUACAUUGCACAAAUUACAAAUAUAUUCUACAAUUACUUUUGUAAAGUAUCAAAUUUUCCAAAUAUUUAAAAAAAAUUAUGAGAGUAUUAUAAAAUGAAAGGGAGAUCACAUGCUUAUCAUAACAAUACAAAAUGGAUAUAUCAUUGCCAUAAAGGGAGUUGAUAUUGUGGAUUUGACCAUAUCCCAUAACAUAAUAUCAGAUUUUAUUGAUGUAAUACUUGCUUAAAACUAACAUCUUCCAUUAAGGACAAGUAAUUUCGGAAGAAAGAAGUCUGAAUGGGUAUGUCUGGGUCCAAGCAUAUACAAAGCUGAAUGAAGAAAAACCAGGAAAUGGCAAGCCAUUUUUGAUGAGACAGACAUCACCAGUUUUGACCAUGGCCUUCGGGUCUACCCUCUCCACUGACUGAAACCCAUCACAUUUCAAUUUCAAGUUUGAUUGGGUGCAUGUGCAGUUGUUUAUAAUUUUAAUUUCCCACUCGGGUUUCCCUUGUAUAACUGAUCCUGUCAGUGAUUGGAUAUACGAAAUGCUGUUCAACGUACAUUGUUGGCCAACUCCUGUAAUUUCAAACAAUAAAAAUUAAAGAAAAUUAAUGUUAACACAAGUUAUAUUAAUAGACAAUACCCAUGCAUUUGCAAGUUGUAUAUUUAAAAGCAUUUGUAGAUGAGAUUUCACCUUUGCCAACCAGACUAAGGAAGAAAAUUAGACCCACAAAGUACACGGUAGAAGCCAUAGAAAUUCUUUUCCCUCUUCCCAAGAGUGAAGAGAAAGGCUGGUCAUUUGCCCUGCUUAUAAAGCAGGAGUAUAAUCUUGAUAAGUAAGGUAAAAAAAUCAGAAUUUGUUACUAAUAAAGAACAUCCCGAAAAAUCUUUAAUCAAUUCGCCUUCAAUGGUAUGAUCUAAAACAAUGGAUAAAAGAUGUUUUGGUAGGAUUCAUUAAGAUUGAUUCAUUCCUUAAUAAAUAAUUAUAUUUGAUUGAGUAAGGUAUCUUAAUUGUCAUAUAUAAAUAAGGAACAAUUGUGUUUUGGACCCAGUUGACCUCAAAAAUUAAGAUUUUGUCCAUAAAAAUUGUAUAAUUGAUGAGAAUGAUAUAAAAUGUGAAAAGACCAAUAUACCCUUCAAAACUAUUUUGAAUAUUUUCUACCAUAAUAUUUGACAAACUUUUUAAUCUUAAAUUUUUUUUUAUUAAUUAUUAUGAAAAUUUAUUAUUUUUAGAAAACUAAUUUUUAAAAAAUAUAUAUUCUAAAAAUAUGUCAUUUUAAAAAAAUAAUUUUCACAUAUUUUUAGUUAUUUUUUACAUACAUAAUUUUAAAAAUAUAUAUUUUCCAAGAUGUUUGAUUUUUAAAUAAUAAUAAUAAUAAUUUAUUUUUAUUUUUUUGGAAAAUGGUGUAUUUUUUUCCAAAUCACUAAAUUAAAUUAAAUUUUAUUGAGGUUUAUAAAAGGAAUAAAAUUUAAAUUAAUGUUUUUCUACUCUCUUUUUUUCAUAGUCAAUAAAGGUCAUUUUUUAAAAGAUAAAACAUUCAUAUCCUACUUCUCAAAUUUCACACUUCCUCUAAGUCUUGGGCUUAAAUGGUCAAUUUAUAUGGACCAAAACUUAAUUUUUGGGUCCAACUAGGUUCAAAACACAAUUGUCCCUGUAAAUAAUUUCUUAAUUUUUAUGAAAGAAGUAAUUUGAUUGAGCAAUAAUAAAUAACGAAAAUAGGAUGACUAUAUACCUUACUCAAAAGACGAAUGUUAAAUGUCCCACCUAAAAUCCUUCCUUUGCUUAUCUUCCUCUUUGUCUUCUUAUUUCAACCUUUUCUUUUCUUUUUUCUAAGGAAACAAAAAAAUAAAAAUAAAAAAUUGAAGAAACAAAAGAAAAAGAGUGUGCACUGCCAUUGUGGCUAUUUUUUUCAAUUAAAUAAAAAGGCAAAAAUUAAUUUGCCACAGCUCUCUCUAUCUUUUUUUCAAUAAGAAAAAAAGAAGGAAUAGGUUUUGGACACUAAUAGAAGAUGGAAAAUUUGCUCUUUUACUUUUAUUUUUAUUUAAGAAAGAAAAUGUGAAAGUUUUUUAACAUUUGAGAAUUAUUAAAUGCAUCCAAUCUUUUCUUAUACAUCCAUUUUUUUUUUUUUUAAAGUAAAAUAAAAUUUAUAUGUGAAAUGACCAAAACUACUUUUUAAUCAAUCUCUCCACAUCUACCAUCCAAAACCUUGACCAUAUUUCUUCUCCAUUUUCAUUUUCCUUUUCUUCCUUCGCGUCACAUCCUACUUUUUCUUUCUUUCAUUCUCUUUUCUUUUUGUUCAAUACUCAAAAAAAAAAAAAAAAAUGGAGAAGAAAUAUGGUUAAAGUUUUGGAUAGUGGAUAUGAAGAGGUUGAAGGAGAACAUGUAUAAGUCAUUUCUCAUACUUUAAUACAUCAAAUGUAUAUAUAUACAUCAAUUAUAAUAGGUAAUACCCUUAAAAAUAUGAUAUAUUAGACUCAAUGUAAUAAUUGAACAAAAUUACUAACCUAAUCUAAUAUAUUAACAUAUAAUUUUUAGAAUUUACAAAACUCUUGCAAACAAUUGAUAAAACAAAAAUUAUUAAUAUUAAGUAGACAUAUAUACAUAAAAAAAAAUUAAUUAAAUUAUAUCAUAAAUGUUAUCAAUUUAAAAACAAAUUUUAAAAUUGAAACUUGAAUGUAAAUGAAUCUCACAAAUAAUCAGGAUUUUGAUCAAACAUGGAAGAUGAUGCUAUAUAAGAAGUUCCCCCUACAAUAAUUCCUUCCACUAGAAAAGCUAAACUUAAAAAAAAACCAAUGUGAGCCAACAUUAGUAGGGGAAAUUUUACACCAUUGAUGACUCGAAUCGAAGAAAAGAGAAAAUCCUUAAAAGGAUUAGCAUCGGACUUGAAAAAUGCUACUACUCCCACAAUUUUUAGGUAUGUUCAAAGAUUUUGACAAAAUGAGGAUCAAUCAACUUUUAUAGAAGACAAAAGUCAAGUACAACCUCAAAUUUAGGUUAGACAAUGGGGAUUUUCAGGUCUUGAAAGAAGAUAAAUCAUUCCUCUCCUAAAAUUGCCACUUAUCUCUAGGAAUGAGAUACAAAAAUCCGUCAAACCCUCAGGAGAUCAAACAACGUAAGGGUUCUUUCCUAACAAAAGAACAUAUGUGGGGUUUGACCCUAAGGCUUACAAGUUAUUAGCCAAGGCCCUUAUGACUUCACUUCAUCAUCACGACUAGGAGAACUUAGCCUUGAGACCGCAAGCAAAAAGAUAUCAUGGUCUUAACAAAACUAUAAAAAAAAAAAAAAUUAAGACAACAAGGGUAUACAAUCAAAUCCCCCACAAGUCUAAGGUUUGUAACUUCCGAGCUAUCGAGAUUUUAGCUAAGACUAAAAGAACUAAGGCAAGUACAUAACAAAUCACCGUGGAAGACAUUGAAGAGAGUAAUGGGUCCAACUCUCCUUCUUGAACUUCAGUGUUUGAUCGAAUUGGCACUCAACUACCCGAGCUUUAGCAUUCACUAAGUUAAGCAAUUUUAACCUAGUGAAAAACAAUUUAACACAUAUUCCACCAAUAUCAACACAACAAUGAUUAGCCUCUACCCCAAAAGUCAUGGCCACAACAUCACAAGAAAGAAGCAAUGUAUCAAACUAAAGGAAGAUAUAGAAACAAAGAGUUUAAUCCCAUCAUGGAUGAAGUGCCACUUAACUUGGGAAAUUUGUUCUAAUGAUUCAAUAAAAAGUAAAACGACAUACCAUUGUAGUCACUAAGAAGUUAGAGAAGGGAUGCUCAAAUGAUGUUGAAGAAAGUUCGACAUAUGUUAGCUACCAUGUUAUGGUAAAAGUCGAGUCUAAUUCAAAAUCUUCAGAAGGUGAACCAGAGAAAUCUCCUCAAGCAUUUGAGGACAACAGGAGGCAAGCUAUUAAAAAUGAGUGAAAAAACUCAACUUGGUUAUAUAUGAAUACCCAAGCCAAUCUAUGUUAGUAUGCUUUUAAGUCCUUCUAAAGAGAAUUUAUCUUGAAUUGUUACUCAAAUAUAAAGAUGGCUUUGCAUGGGUAUGCAAAGAAAUGCUAGGUCUUAAUCCAAAAGUUGCAGUGCAUCAACUCAUAAUGAGACAUGGAGUUCAACCGAUUAAGCAAGCCUAGAGGCAAAUGAUAGUUAGCCUCAUCAUAGUACAUAGGGUUAGGUCUAGUAUUUUAACGUUUAAAGUGACAUUUACUUGUAUCUUUAGAGUUAUCAGUUGAUAUGUUGAGGACAUUUGCAUUGUCAUCUUGCUCAAAAGCUUGGUAGCAAUAACCAUUAAUUACCAUUACUAAGUAUAAUUCCAUCAUGCUCCAAGUGUGUGAAGGAAUUAGCUCAAUGGUCACCAUUGAAUGAUUAGAAGAAACUAUUGAGUCAUCGAGUAUAUCAUCAUAACUCUCCCUCAAUGUUACCCCUAACACUCCUCUUUGUAAGGACAUUUAAGCCAAUCUUUUAUGUUCUACUCUUUAAAGACUUUAAGGCUAUUUUUUGAAUGGAACCAAGAAGAUUCUCUAUACAAAUAGUGAGUGUUUCCUUCCAAGAGUUCCACACUCUAGACCAUCAAUUUGCAUAAUCUUUGGUGACUGAAAACCCUCUAAGGUUAUGGCAAUUUAGUAUAGUGACUCUUAAGUGGGUACCAAGCUUGGUGCAAGACUCCCAAUGUUGAUUCACCUCCUCCAAAGCUCCAAAGCAAAAAAAAAAACCUCUAGCAAACCUUCAAGAACAUCUUGAGGAUGCCCAAAUUGUCAAAAAAAUCGAUAAGGAUAAUACACUUGCAUUACCCGGUGUUUGUCAUAUUGCAAAGAUGAAUAACUAGAGCGAAGACUUAUGAGAUAAAAAACUUUCAUAGUAAUAAUAGAUUCAUCAUCAACUAAGUUCACACACUCAUUUCAAGGUAGUGCUAGAUAGUUUAACAUUACGUGGUUGCAAGACAUUAUCCAACCCGGUGAUUGCAAAUCUUCGAAACACUUAGUAGAAAACUCACCAACAUAAUGAAUCAUCCACAGGGAGUGGUCCCAAUAUAGAGAAAUGAAAUAGGUAUCAAAAUAUUCAUCUAACCAUCCAUAUAAAUGGGAAAAUGGAGGCAUUAACCCCAUGCUUCAAAGAACAAAAAAUUUCAUUCAAGCCAUUGUAAAUGCUUGUUAAUACCAAAAUAGUAAGUCUAAACAACUGGUCUUGAGUCAUUUUACUAGCUACCUUGAAGAUUUUAGGGCAAAUCAAAGUAACACCCUUCCCAGAAAGAACAAACUUGCAUAACCAACAUGCAAGUUAAACAGCCAAAUAAGUCUCUCUAAUAGCUCCCUCAGCCAUACUAAGGUCAUUGAAUACCUUUAUCUCUAACUAAGUACGGGGUGCAACGGGAUUAAUAUCUCUAUAAGGAUUAUAAGUCUUUUUUGGGCCUCUGUGUGUUGUUCCUUGUACUCUUAUUUAGGGGCUUUACAUAUUUUAUGAAGCCUUUAUAUCAAAAUGACACCUAUAAGGUGAUUUUAACUGAAGACUUCCCCUUUGUCUUAGAGCAAAUUUGAUCAUAUACAUGGAACAAGUGUAGACAACUUGGUGAAAGUAAGGACUUUUUGUAUCAUUAGAUAGCUCUUCUGUACUUGGUAAUACCUUGUCAUAAAAAGAUUCAAUAAUGGGUAGCCUAGCAAUGGAUAUAAAUCCCAAAGGGAGAUGGAAACCUCUACAAUGGAAGUAUGUAAGAUGUUAAUGUUAGGAUACCAACAUUCGCAGAAAACUUUUAUAAUGGAAGCAUGAUAGGCGCAGUUGAAUAAGGAUGCAAAGAUAACUUCAAUAUCCUUCAAUAAAGAAAAGAUUCCCUAACCACCUUGAGAGAACCUCCCCAUUCCAUAUUUCCAUCACGUAUGCCAAAACUCAACAAUUCUAAUUCAUCAUGAGUUUCAAUGGUAGUUGGGUAAGAAGAAUUCAACAGCAAGACGUUAGAAACAAGUUUUACUUUGUUGAAUUUUGAAUUACUAAUAUUUGUAAGCUCACAAGAUGCUACUCCAAACUAAGAAGAGAUAUGUAACGGACUUCUAUCACUCGAAUCAACAAGGUUUAGGGGUUAAUAAGUGAUUUCUGCACUAGCAAAGUAGUUCCCUUCUCAAAGUCUUCACUAUACUCCUUAAGAAUAAUCACGGUAUUUUCCUUGAAACACUUGAAGAACACCAUUCUAAAAAAAACAAAGAAGUAAAUAUGACAAGGAAUACAUGGGUGUUAAAUAUGGUUCUAAAUUUAAUUAAGUGUUGAGAAAUUGCAUACCACUAUGUAUUCAAGUGAAGCCCAUUCGUAUGAGUGGGAAUUUAGCAUUAAGCCACUUUAAGUGCUGAAAUUACAACACCGCGUAGCAUCAAGGUUAUGACUUGUCUACAUAGGUAUUAAGUGUAGUUCCAAUUUUAAUUAAAUGUCAAAGUUUGAACAUCACUAUGCACUCAAGUCAAGUCAAUUCUCAUGAGUGAGGACUUUAACACUUAAGUCACAUCAAGUGUUGAAAAUACAACACCAUGUAGUGUCAAGGUUAUGACUUGUCUACAUAAGCAUUAACUGUAAUUCUAAUUUUAAUUAAAUAUUAAAGUUUGAAUAUCACUAUGCAUCCCAAUCAAGCUAAUACGUAUGAGGAAGAACUUUAGCAUUUAAGUCGCAUCAAGUGUCGAAAGUGCAACACUGCGUAAUGUCAAGGUUAUGACUUAUCUAUAUAGGUGUUAUGUGUAGUUCCAAUUUUAAUUAAAUGUUAAAGUUGGAACAUCAGUAUGCACCCAAAUAAAGCUAAUUCGCAUAAAAUGGAACUUUAACACUUAAGUCGCAUCAAGUGUCGAUAGUACAACACCAUGUAGCAUCAAGGUUAUAACUUAUCUACAUAAAUGUUAACUAUAGUUCCAAUUUUAAUUAAAUGUUAAAAUUUUGACAUCACUAUGCAUCCAAAACAAGCUAAUUCAUAUGAGUGAGGACUUUAGCACUAAAGCAACACCAAAGGGCUCUCAAAUACACCCACAUUUAGGGAUAUAAUUCCUAAUAAAAGGAUAUAAGCUCAACCUACAAGGUCAAGGUGGCUCUAAAAAGAAUAGGGCAGACCAAAAAGGGUCCCUAGCACAAGCGAUCAUACCCUCCAAUAGUACACAACCUCUUACAUGCCUCCAAAGAGAUAGGAUACAUCCAUGUAAGGUGGUCAUCACCUCCAUACAUGGACUACCUCCCAUCCCAAGGGUUUCCUAAUGGCAAAGGCUUUCAAAUCUCUUAACCAAAGACUCUUCCUUUGUCUCAAAGCAAUUCCAAUAAUAUGCAAGGAACAAGUGUUAACAACUUGGUAGGAGUAAGGACUUUUCUAUGUCAUUAAAUAGCUUUUUUGUACUCGAUACCUCCUCAUCAUAAAAAAAAAAUCCAGUAGUGGGUUGCCCAACAUUUCAAUAUAAAUCCUAAAAGAAACGGGAAACCUCUCCAAUGGAAGUAUGUAAAGUGUUAGUAUAAAGACACGAACAUUCACAGAAAGCUUUUAUAACAUAAGCGAGACAGUUGUAGUUGAAUAAGAAUGCAAAGAUAGCUUCAUAAAGCUUGCAUCUCUUAAGAAAUCCAUCAUAUCAACCUAACACCUCCUUUACCUAUUCUCAAUAUCCUUCUAUAAGGAACCUUCAUAUUCUACCUUUUCAUCACAUAUAUGAGAGCUCAACAAUUUGAAUUAAUCAUAAAUUUCAAUGGUAGUUAGGUGAGAAGAAUUUAAUAAUUGGAUGUCAUAAACAAGUUUUACUUUGUUGAAUUUUGAAUUACUAUAAUAUUUUUAAUCUCGCAAGUGACUACUCAAGACCAAAAAGAGAUGUGUAAUAGAUCAUUUAUCAUUAGUAGUGACAGGGUUUGGGGGUCGAAAAAUGAUUUAUGCGCUAGCAUAGUAGUUCCCUCGUCAAAGUCUUCAGUAUCCUCCUCAAGAGUAGUCACAAUAUUUCCCUUGAAACGUUUGAUGAACACCAUUCUAAAAUCAAAUAGAUAAAUAGGAAAGGGAAUACAUGGGUGUUAAAUAUGGUUCUAAAAUUUAAUCAAGUAUUGUGAAGUUGGAUACCACUAUGCAUCCAAGUUAAGCUCAUUCAUAUGAGUAAGGACUUUAGCAUUAAAUCAUAUUGAGUGUUGAAAGUACAAGACCACAUAGCAUCAAUGUAUGACUUGUCUAUAUAAGUGUUGAGUGUAGUUCUAAUUUUAAUUAAAUGUCAAAGUUUGAACAUCACUAUGCACCUAACUCAAGCCAAUUUGCAUGAAUGAAGACCUUAGCACUUAUGCAAGUGUUGAAAGUACAAUACCACGUAACAUCAAGGUUAUGACUUGUCUACAUAGGUGUUAAGUAUAGUUCCAAUUUUAAUUAAAUAUUAAAGUUUGAACAUCGUUAUGCACCCAAGUCAAGCCAAUUCACAUGAGUGAGAACCUUAGCACUUAAGUUGUAUCAAGUGUCAAAAGUACAACACCGCGUAACGUCAAGGUUAUAACUUGUCUACUUAAGUAUUAAGUGUAAUUUCAAUUUUAAUUAAAUGUUAAAGUUUGAAUGUCACUAUAUAUGCAUCCAAGUCAAGUCAAUUAGCAUGAGUGAAGACUUUAGCACUUAAACCGCAUCAAGUGUCGAAAGUACAACACCACAUAGCGUCAAGGUUAUGGUUUGUCUAUUAAGUGCUAAGUGUAGUUCCAAUUUUAAUUAAGUGUUAAAAUUUGGACACCACCAUAUAUCCAAGUCAAGCCAAUUUGCAUGGGUGAAGACUUUAAUACUUAAGUGCCAAAAAUGCAACAUCACUCUGCAUCAAGGCCAUAACUUGAUUAUAUCAAGAUCAAAUUUUAAGUAUUCAAAAUUUUUUUUUAUUGAUAUUUAAGUUUGUUAAAAAUUCGUCUUAAGUGUUGAAAGAAAAUUCAUCUCUUCAAACAAAGAAGACCAACACGCAUUUAGGAACAGUGAGCCUUUUUCUACCUUGAAAAAAAAAAGUCAAAAAGAAAAAAAAAAACAAAAAGUUUGAAGAUUGAAAAAAAUAAAAUAAACUCAUGUGUGUGUGUUUGUAUAUAUAUAUAUAUAUAUAUAGCAGCCACAUAUCAAUGCUUUAUGCACCUCCAUAGCUCUAUGCUCCAAGCGUCUUUAGGGUCAAUGCACCAUGCAACUCCAUACUCCAUGCUCCAAAAAAAAAAUGGAACAAGACUUUUCAUUGAGGGUUUGAGAUUAGGUUCUCAAACUAUCAAUGGAGUUUGAGAGUUUUAUAUAUAUAAUAAAAAACAAAAAACAAAAUAUGAGGAUAAAUUGAAAGGGAAGACGCCUAUGAAAAAGGAAAGUUGAUGUUCAAUUUAGAAACUUUCCUACUAACACAAGAUGUUCAUUUGAUACCAAGUGGAAGAAAAGGGGAAAAAAUAAAGUAGUGUUUAAGAAAAGUGAAAAAGAGAUAUUUCAAAAAUAGGAAACUUCUUAUUCAACUAUUUAUUUGUGGAAAAAAUAAAGAAAAAUUCAAAGAAAAAUGAAGGCUAACUUUAAGACCCACAUCGUACACAUAAUAAAACAUGUACAUGAUGUGUCUUGAAGUAGGGGCAUUUGUAGACAUCAAAAAUUUUAGUGAAUUAAAUUAUCACUAGAUUGGUAUUCAAAAAUUGUGGCUUCCUAAUUCAACAAAAUUUGGGCUCCACAAGUGAUUGCUAAUGGUGAAUUUUGAAAGACUAUAAAAUUUAGUCCUGAAAAUAAAAUCAAAUCUUCCAAUUGAAGUCAAAAGAGAAUUAAAAAUAAAAAUUCUUUGGUUAGUGAAUUUCUUAAGGAAACAAAUUUUUCAAUUGAAGUUAAAAGAGAAUUAAAAUAAAUAAAUAUUCUCUUAUUGGCAAAUUUCCUUAAUAAAUGAGAAGAGUUAUAAAAUUAAGGAACCAAAUUUUUUGAAUUAAGUAAUUAAGUCUUUAGGGAUUCCAAAUUUAAUUCUUUAAUUUCGCCUAUAAAUAAUGGUGACUUCCUUUAAUGAAGAAGAUCCAUUGACAAAAUGACUUUACACAAGAAAAAAAAAAGUUUCACAAAAAAUAAAAUAAUAUAAAUAAAAGACUUCACAAAACCUACCUACAAAUUCGAGAAAUUGCAAAAGAACUAGGUACAUGUUCCUCUCCUUUUGACAAAGUCAUUCUUGGUCUUUGAUUGACUUUAAAGACAAAGAAAACAUUUUCAUCAUCGUUGUUGGAUUGUGAUCAAAGCAAAAGAAUCAAAGGGAAGAAUAUUCAUUUGUAAAUAAUAUCAACAUUGAGAUUUUUCCCCACAAUUAUUUAAUUUUUUUUUAAAGUAUUUUCAUUAUUUUCCGUAUUAUUUUACUAAUUUUGCAGGACUUUACGAAGUUUGUGAGUACAACAAGAUUUCUGAGAUGUCCAAGAAUCUCGAUUAGUUGUUUCAUUGACCAAUUUUUUUGCCCCAAGUUAUGAAUGGAAUUACAAAUAUGAUAAUCACUCUGUUUUCUAGCUCUUCCAUGAUCUUCUAGCUCUCACACCAUGUAAAAGAAUGCACAUUCUUUGGCUAUAUAUUGAUAAUAAUUUUACUAAAAAAUAUUUUGUCUCAUUCAAGUCAUUAAUCAACUAAUUAAUACCCAACAUAUAUUUAUAAUAACUUAUCAUAUUUGAAAUAUAACUCAAAUUCAUAAUUAACUAGGACUUGUAAAUAACAUAAGAAGUCUAGAUAAAUAACAACUCUUAACACUUCUCAAAUUCCUAAAGUUCUUCUAAUUUAAUUUUAAGUUGGAUUAAUAUUUUCAACAUGACCCAUUUUUCUAAUAAGAGUGUAAGUUCUUUUCCAAUAGAAAAAUGGAAGUAUAAGCGCUGUUCCAAUCCAUAUUGAAGUCAAACAGAAGAAACCUAAUAGUUCGGAAGCACAUGUCUUCUUAGUGAGGGGACUACGCCAUUAAUGAGCCAAAUUAACAAACGUAGCCGGAUCAAGGAGCUACUGGGGAAGGGUAGAUAUGGUGAAGCUUUUCAUGUUUCGUUGAUGUUGAAUUCAACAUUAUAUUAGAUUAUGAAAGUUGACAUUUUCUUGAUUAUCUGUCACUUUCCUCCGAUCCAAAGAUGCAUCUUAGAUUAUUUUAUUUUAUUUUUUAGGACAUGGAUUUGACCUACUCCAAGACAUUAAAAAAUAAAUAAAUAAAUAAGCAAAAUAGUGUAAAUUCUAAACUGUUUGGAAGUGGAAAUGAAGAUGAUCUUAUAAAUUUUUUUUUUCUUUUUUUUUUUUUGGUCUUAAAAACUGAAAAAAAAAAAAAAAAAAAAAAAAGGUCAACAAUUUUGUUUCUUCCGACCAUUUUCAGUUAUAGGGUAAUUGCACCUUUAAAAAAUCAACAUUUAUGUUGGUCUUAAACAUAAUUGCAAAUCCUAUAACGGGUAAUGACAUAAUUGCAAAUCUUAAACAUAACUUCCGACAUAAUUAAUGCACCUUUAAAAAAUCAACAAUUAUGUUGGUCUUAAACACCAUAAGCUUUCUUUGACAUUGCAAAUCCUAAAUUGUUUCUGACUGGCCUCAAAUGGCAACAACAAAACUUGGGAGAUAUGCAAUAACUGGUAAUGACAUAACUGGAGCUUUAUCAUCUAGGUAAGUAGGUUCUGAUUAACACAUUUGUUAGCAGAUAGAAAUCAGAAAUUAUGUUUAAAAACAGUUAAACUUUAUUUUAUUCUUACAAAAAUGAGAUGGGUCUCUACAAGAGUGUGAGAUGAAAAUGAAUUCUACAAAAAAAAUAAAAAUAAAAGACAUUGUGGAUGAGAUAUGGGUUGUGUGUUGACUCUUGUAGGGUUCUGUUUAUGGGUGUGCUUGAUGAGUCAGAGCUCAAUCCCAGUGGCUUCGCAGAGGAGUGGAGGAUCUGGAAAUGUUGAAGAAGGCAGAGUUUUUAUUAAUGGAAGAGUUGCAAUUGGAAGCACAGAUGAUGAUUUUGUAUGCGCCACUUUGGAUUGGUGGCCUCCUGAUAAAUGUGACUAUGGAACUUGCAGUUGGGGUAGAGCUUCUCUUCUCAAUCUGGUAAGUUAAGCUACUUCCAUUUUCAUUCGACCGCUUUUUUUUAACUACUUGGUAUGCUACUGAUUAGUUCGAAAAGAAAUUCAAACAAUACCAGAGUUACGUAGAAAGCAUGAUUGAUCCAUAACCUGGUAGCUAGGGGACUGGUUUUUCAUUUUUCUAAUUGAUGAAUUUCUUUUUGUAGGACCUUACCAACAAAAUUUUGUUCAAUGCCAUCAAAGGUGACCAAGAUUUUCCAUAAAACUCAUUAACCCUGCAAAUUGCUUAAUUUGUAUCUUUUAGUGGCUCAAGUUACAACUCUAACUGGAUGAUAUAUAUUUGCAGCCUUUUCUUCCUUAAAAAUUAGGAUGGGUGGCACCUUACAGGAUAAAGUAAUAUACCAAAGAACCGGUGACCAACAACCCUGUGCUCAGUUUGUUAAAAAUAGCUCAGAAAUGUUUGGUUUCUCAGAAGGUUGCUUACCUAUGUCGCGAUGGGAUGAGUUAAACCAGUUCUUCAGAGACGCUGGGUAAAAUUUUCUCACCAUAUGUCAACAGUCCAAACAAAAAGCAAUGUCUUAUGGAAUGCAUUUCUUUCCUUCUCUGAACAAGUUUCUGUUUAUAAAUGAAACAUAACAACACACUAUUCUCACCAAGUUUGAUAAAUAUAGGGCUGUCGUGAUUUUUGGAUUGAAUGCACUAAGUGGGAGGAGUAUAGGCAUGGAUGGUUUGGCUACAGGAGCUUGGAAUGGCAGUGAUGCAGAAUCCCUUAUUCAGUAUACUGUCAACAAGGGCUACACCAUUCAUGGUUGGGAACUAGGUAAGAGCUCUUAUAUUUUUGUUCACAACAGAUAAUAAAGAUUAUCACUUAAUUUCUGAGAAAGGCAGUACCUAUUUCUUUUACAAAACACUUGAAUAACAAAACUGCUUGAAAUAAUCAAGACAAUAGAUGAACUAGAACUUUUGAUAUUCACUUAAAAAGAAAAAAAAAUGAAAAAAAUCAAAGGAAAGGCGAACGAGAAGACAAUGGAGUUUGGUCUAGAAUACUAUGGUUUAUAAAAUUUUCCUCCAGUUUCUUAAAUAGAGUUUUGGGUUCUGAAACUUCUUGUUUCAUCUCAGGAAAUGAGCUGACUGGAAAUGGAGUUGGAGCAGGAGUUCCAGCAGAUCAAUAUGCAUCUGACAUAAACACUCUCCAAAGCAUGGUGCAAAAGAUUUAUGCAAGUUAUGAAGCUAAGCCACUGGUCAUUGGGCCAGGAGGGUUCUUUGAUGCAAGUUGGUACACAGAAUUCAUAGAUAAAACACUCAAAUCUCUUCAAGUAGUUACCCAUCACAUAUAUAAUCUCGGUCCAGGUAUAUUGUCAGUUCUUGUCAUCUCGUUACACAAUUUUUCACUGUCAGUCUAGAGUGCUUAUAUUCAUACUGUGCAGCAGCUUCUAUCCUGAGAAUGAGGGUUAACCUUUUUUCCAUUUCUGGUAUAUAGGGGUUGAUGAUCACCUUAUUGAUAAAAUUCUUGAUCCAUCCUAUCUUGAUGGUGGUUCCAAACCAUUCCAAGACCUCCAAAGCAUUCUACAGAAUUCUGCAACUUCAGCAACUGCUUGGGUUGGUGAAGCUGGAGGGGCUUACAACAGUGGCCAUAAUCUUGUCACUAAUGCAUUUGCUUUCAGUUUCUGGUAAGUUAGUACUGAUGUUUUGAGAUGGAAAGUUCUCUGACUUUUGGAUACUUCCUUUUCAACAUUGAUCUAGUUUUCUCACUAACCAAACAGGUACCUGGAUCAGCUUGGAAUGGCAUCAUCUUAUGGUAACAAGACAUAUUGUAGGCAAACCUUGAUUGGAGGAAACUAUGGCCUACUCAACACUACAACCUUUGUCCCAAAUCCUGAUUAUUACAGGUUACUUUUUAAUUCUAAAUUAAGACUAAACAUAGUAUCACAAAGAUAUUCUUGUUGAUGUUGUCCUCUUGCAGUGCUCUUCUUUGGCACCGUUUAAUGGGAAGAAAUGUUCUAUCAACCAGCUUCAAUGGUACAAAGAAAAUACGCGCUUACUCUCACUGUUCCAAACAAUCCGUAAGUAAAAUCUACAUUCAAAUUCAUCAGCAGAAGAUAAAUACUCUUCAGCGUUAACUCAUCUGGUUUUCAUCACCGCAGCCAGGAAUCACAUUGCUAUUGAUCAACCUAGACGGUAACACUACACUUCGAGUCCAAGUUUCAACUGAAAAUGAUGGUAACAACAGGACUUCGACUUUACAAAGUAAAAACCAAACUCAAAGAUCAAAUUUUGCAAGCACAAGAGAAGAAUAUCAUUUGACAGCCAAAGAUGGGAAUUUACACAGCCAAACACUGCUUCUAAACGGGAAAGUUCUUACUGUAAAUUCAUCGGGCAGUAUCCCUCCCUUGGAACCUAUAAGUGUGAGCUCGUUGGAUCCUAUAACUGUUGCUCCUUUCUCUGUUGUGUUUGCUCGCUUCCCUGAUGUCAAUUACCCUGCCUGUAGUAGGAGUACCCAAAUGGAAAUGGAUAAAUUUGGUUUGUUGAUUGAGCUACUACUAUUUGGAGUACUACAGCCAAUUAUUUGCAUAUUUUUCUGAAGAUGAAGACAUGCUUGAAACAUGUCAAAGUCUACAUAAAGAUAAUGAAUGAAGGGGUAUAGAGGCUAUGAUGUUUAUUCUAUGAGAUGAUUCAAUCAGGCUAUGAUGUUGCUUCUCAUGUGACAUGGCAUGAUGUCAAAAUAGAAUCCAAGCCAUGUCCUUUUGUAUUAUAUAUGUUCAUCACUUUUCUCUUUAUUAAAUAUUUCAAAGCUUGUCAAUGGUCCGCAUAAUUGUCUAGAAAUUAAGGGUGGAUAAGUAAUCUAAAUAUAUGUAUCCCAAUUUUAAAAAAUUUAUUUUGAUUUUCUUAUCCUAGUUUUUAACAUUUAUUUGUAUUUUCUUAGUUAUCAAUUAAUUCAAUUAAGCAUAUUAUAAAAUCAAUCAACACAACGAACUUUAGAUAUACAUGGAAAAACUAUCUAUUCAAUCUCCUUAAACUUUGUAAAUAUAAAAAGGUAUAAUUUUAUUUGAUUCGGAUGUAUUUACUCCAAAGGAUCUUAUAUCGAUCAUUAUUUAUUUUUUCAAGUCUAUAAUGUAGCAUCUUACAUUCCUUAGUAGAUCACCUUAACUUUGUACUGAGGUUGGCAAAUCAAUGCAUUGCUAUCUUUUCUAUUGGAAGGACUUUCAAGACAAAUUCUUGAAAGGUUUUGAGAGUUAAGAAGUUUUAAGGAAGAGCUAUGACUAUCUUAGCAAUUUGUGCAUCAACACCAUCAAAGUGCAAAGACUAGGUUUUGAUAGAAAAAUCCUAGAUGGUUUAAUUAUUCGAAGUUUAAGAAAGGUGAAUUUCCAGAAGAAGAAAAAAAGUAUAUUUUAAAACAUAACAAUUCUAAAAUAGGGUAAAAACAUGACCAAACAUUCAAACUACCUAAAGAGGGUGUUGAACUCCAUAGAGACAUUUGAACAUCUCUUUAUGCUAUAUUUGAACAUUCAUGGGACAUUUGAACACUCCAUGAGGGACAUUUAAAUGUUCAAUCUCUAGUACAUUUUUUUUAUAUUUUCAAGACAUUUUCUUUUCAAAUUUCCAUUCUAUUUAAUUUUAAAUGCCCAAUGUAAAAUCAUACUACUCCAAACACAUAUUUACCUUAAUCAAAACUGAUGUUUGAGUAGCUUGAACUUAAUAAAGGCAAUUAAGACCUAAGACCAUAAGAUAUGUCCAAACCAUUAUAUAAAUGGAACAAAAUUGUCAACCACCAAAAAUAGAGCACUAACAAUCUCCCCCUUUUGCAAUUUGAUGGGAAAACUAAUAUUAUUGGAAGUCCCAUAAUUUUUUAAAAGCAAGCUCAUUGAUGCACUUGUAAAUUCUCUCUUCUUAAAUCACUCUCUGCACACAACUUGUAACCUUCAAACACUCAAACAACAUAUCUAUGAAAAGUAUUGUAAGGGAAAAAUAUAAAAAUAUGUAUAUUCUUCAUAAAAAUAUGUAUUUUUUUUUUUUAAGAAAAAUAUGUACAUUCUUCAUAAAAAUUUUUUUUUUUUUUUUAAAGCCAAACGGGACUCCAUUAGGCCUUAAUAUGUCUUAAAUUAAUAUUCAUUUAGGGAACAUUUGGGCCCAUUUGCCUUUAAAAAAAUGUGUAUGUUUUUGUAAAGAAUGUUCGUAUUUUUGUGAAGAAUGUAAGUAAUUUUCUUAAGAUUGCACGUAUUUUUCUUAACAAUGUAUGUGGGGUUCCCAAAUGGAUUUUAGGGUGGAGGAAUGCCUCAAAUCCAUUCUUGAAGUUCUCCAAAUGAAUAUUUAAGACAUAAUAAGGCCUAAUAUGGUCGUUUUGCCUUUAAAAAAAUUUACAUAUUUUUGUGAAGAAUGUACGUAUUUUUCUUAAGAAUUUACAUAUAUUUCUUAAGAAUGUACGUAUUUUUCUUAAAAAUAUAUGUGAGGUUCCCAAUUAGAUUUUCAGAGUAGGGGAAAGCCUCAAAUCCAUUCUCGAUGUUCCCCAAAUGAAUAUUUAGACCUUGAUAGAGCCUAAUGGAUCAUGUUUGGCCUUAAAAAAUUGAACAUAUUUUUGUGAAGAAUGUAUGUAUUUUUGUUAAAAAUGUACAUAUGUUUUAGGAUGUACAUAAGGUUCCCAUUGGAUUUUCAAAUUGGGACAAGACUUCAAAUCACUUCCCAAGGUUCCCCAAAUAAAUAUUUAAGAUAUAAUAAGGCAUCUUUUUGUAAACUAUGUAUUUACCUUAAGAAGAAGAAGCAUAUUUUUCUAAAGGAUGUAUGUAGGGUUCCCAAUUGGAUUUUCAAAGUGGGGAAAGACCUCAAAUCCAUUCCUAAUAUUCCUCAAAUAAAUACUUAGACCCUAAUUCUUUAAAAAAAAAUGUACAUAUUUUUGUAAAGAAAGUACAUAAUUUUCUUAAGAUUGUACGUAUUUUUCUUAAAGAUGUAUGUGAGGUUCUAAAUUGGAUUUUAGGGUAGGGGAAGGCUUUAAAUCCAUUCUUGAUGUUUCUAAAAUGAAUAUUAAAGACAUAAUAAGGCCUAAUGGCUCUCAUUUGGCCUUUUUAAAAAAAUAAAUAUGCUUUUUUGUAAAGAAUCCACGUAUUUUUCUUAAAAAUAUACAUGUUUUUCUUUAAAAUGUACAUGGGAUUUCAAAUUGGAAUUCAGGGAGGGGGAAGGCCUCAAAUCAAUUCCUAAUGUUCUCCAAAUGAAUAUUUAAACACUAAUAUAGACUAAUAGGGUUCCACUUAACCUUAAAAAAUAUGUACAAUUUUAACAAAAACGCAUAGAUUGUUUAGAAAAAUGCACACACAAUUUUUAAAUAAAUAGUGACCCUACUCAGCCUUAUUUGGGUCUAAAUAUUCGCUUAUGGAAGACCCAAAAUGAAUUUGAGGCAUUACCAUACCCCAUUAUGCAUGGUGAAGCCAUAGGGGCAUCUUUUAGAAAAAUACCUAUAUUCUUAAGAAAAAUAAAUAUAUCUUUAAGAAAAAUAUCUACAUUUGUUUCGAAUAAGAGGUCCCAUAAAAAAUUGCUUUUAUUUUUCAAUACGUAUACCUAUUUUCCUAGGAUUAUCUAAAUUUGAGUGAUAGGGUCAUUUAAAAUUUAAUAUUCUUUUAAUAUUCUACUUCAUGAAGGUGUAUGAUGAACUUUAUUAAUAUUUUACUUCUAAAUUUAUAUUGAGAUCAUCAAUUAUUAUAUUAAUUAAAAAUAUAUUAUUCAACAUGAAAAAUUUCAGUCAUAGAUCGAACAUAAAAAAUUUAAAAGUUAUAUCUCUCAUAUAUUUUAAUUACUACUAUGAGAUUGUUACAAAUAUGCAUGACUUAUAAAAUUUAAAAUAAUGCAAAUAGAAAGAAAUUUGAUGAUUAAAAAUAUUAUAGAUUAUAUAAAAAAUGAAGAAAAAUAAAAUAUUGUUUUUUAUUCAUAACAAAUAAUAAAAGAAAAUUACUUUUUUUAAUUGAAGUACUUGUUUUCCGAUAUAAAAAAUAAUUAUUAGAUUUUUACUCAAGAUUUUUAUAUACUUUUUUAUUCUUAUCUUACCGUCCCGAUGAAUGUAUAGGCACGAAAGACUAUCAAAGACAGAGCUAAGACUAUAGGUUGGAUUUAAGUCCCUACUCCCUAGUCAUAUCUUUAUAUUCGAGGAAGUCUCACAUUCUUCUAUCUUUUUCAAGAUUCCCAUAUCCUCUUUAAUGGUGCAAUCGUGAUAUCCUAUCUUUACAAAAAUAAAUAAAUAAUAAGAUAGUCCUAGAAUCAAAAUUAUAAAUUAAAUAUUUUUUAAAAGAACCUAAGAAACUUAAAUUGUUGUCAACUUUUACACCUAAAGGUCUUAGCUCAAACUCUCUAGCUUGCAUAAUAUUUUUCUUCCCAUUAACUAAUCCCACUUCGAAAAUGGAUAAAAAAUAUAUGUAGGGAUUGUGGGGUAUAAAAGGCAUACAAGAAUCAUUCAUUUGUAAAACUAAAAGCUUAUUGGGCUUGAUCACAAAAGGGAUCCCUUAAGAAACAUUGUCAUUUUGCACCUUGUCGUUUUGGUGCAAAAUGCAUUAAUAAAAACAAUAAAAAUAAAAUUUUAAAAAACAAUAAAAAUAAAAAUAAAUAUAAAUAUAAAUAAAAAAAUAAGAAGAAGAAGAAGAAUCCUCAUAAUUUGGAAGCACAUGCGUGUCUUCUUGCAUUUGAAAUGAGCAAACAAAACUAAGUACAGGAUCAAAUAGGGAAAGGUAGAUAUGGUGAAGCCUUUCAUGUUUCCAAUUUUAUUUGGGGUUUUGUUUUUCUAGUGCUUUCGUUUGCUGUUGACUAUUGAGUUCAAUUUUAUAUUGGAUUUUGAAAAUAUGAUGUUUUUCUUAAUCCUAUGACAUUAUCUUCCAAACAUGCAUCUCGGAUAAUUUAAUGUUGAUUUUCAGUGGCCUCUUGAAGGCAACAACUAAAGUGAGGAACUAAGCAAUAACUAGUGAUGACAUAACUGGAGUGAUUUGUUUAGUGGGUUUGUUGCAGUUACGUUUUUCUUUAUCAUCUUGGUGGGCAGGUUUGCUAGAAAUGUAUCUCUCCUUUAAACAGAUUUUUUAGUAGAUAGAAAUCAGAAAUUAUGUUUAAAAAACUGUUUUGCUUUAUUUUAUUCUUAGAAAAACGAGAUGGGUUCUCUACAAGAGUGUGAGAUGAGCUUGAAUUCUGCCAAAAAACAUUGUGGGUGAGAUGGGUUGUGUGUUGACUUUUGUGGGGUUGUGCUUAUGGGUGUGUUUGAUGAGUCAGAGCUCAAUCCCAGUGGCUUCGCAGAGGAGUGGAGGGUCUGGAAAUGUUGAAGAAGGCAGUGUUUUUAUUAAUGGAAGAGUUGCAAUUGGAAGCACAGAUGAUGAUUUUAUAUGUGCCACCUUGGAUUGGUGGCCUCCUGAUAAAUGUGACUAUGGAACUUGCAGUUGGGGUAGAGCUUCUCUUCUCAAUCUGGUAAGCUAAACUACUUUCAGCUUCAUUCAACUGGUUUUCUCACUGUUGGAAAAGCAAUUCAAACGACACCAAAGUUACAUAGAAAAUAUAUGUUAACUAUCAAAGAAUUCCAAUGGAAAAUUUGUUAGCUGAAGUCAUGGGAAGAUUGAUACCCUUAAGCUGCUUUUUUUUAAUCAUUUUCUAAUGGAUGCAUUUCUUUUUGUAGGAUCUUAGCAACAAAAUUUUGCUGAAUGCUAUCAAGGGUAAUGAAGAUUUUCCAUGAACCUUAUUAACCUUGCAAAUUCCAUAAUUUGUAUCUUCUAGCAGCUUGAGUUCUAACUCUAAUUUGAUGAGAAUGCAGCUUUUUCUCCCCUGAAAGUUAGGAUGGGUGGCACCUUACAGGAUAAAGUCAUAUACCAAAGGACCAGUGACCAAAAUCCCUGUGCUCAGUUUGUUAAAAAUAGCUCAGAAAUGUUUGGUUUCUCAGAAGGUUGCUUACCUAUGUCGAGAUGGGAUGAGCUGAACCUGUUCUUCAGAGAGGCAGGGUAGUAUUUUCCUAUCAUAUGUCAGCAGUUCAAACGAAAAGCAAUGUCUUACCAUGCAUUUUCUUUCCUUCCAAACAAAUUUAUGUUAUAAAUGAAUCACAGCCAAAUUCACUAUUUAUUCUCACAAAGUUCAAUAACUAUUGGGCCGUCGUGAUUUUUGGAUUGAAUGCACUAAGUGGAAGGACUAUAGGCCUGGAUGGUUUGGCUGCAGGAGCUUGGAACUCCAGUGAUGCAGAAUCCCUUAUUCGGUAUAGUGCAAACAAGGGCUACACCAUUCAUGGUUGGGAACUUGGUAAGGGCUCUUAUAUUUUCAUUUUCACAUAAGAUAACAAAGAUGUUCGCUAAAUUUUUAAGAAACGUGGUACCUAUUUCUUUGUUAAACACUUGAAACAGUUAAAACUGCUUGAAAUGAUCAAGAUGAUAGAUGAACUAGACAGUGGAGCUUGGAAGAACCUAGGCUUCUUUGUGUUGAUCUAGAGUCUAAACUGCCAAGGCCGACAAAAUUUUCCUCCACUCUUCUUCCACUUUCUUAAACAGAAUUUCAGGUUCUAAAACUUCUUGUUGCAUCUCAGGAAAUGAGCUGACUGGAAAUGGAGUUGGAGCAGGAGUUCCAGCAGAUCAAUAUGCAUCUGACAUAAACACUCUCCAAAGCAUGGUGCAAAAGAUUUAUGCAGGUUUUGAAGUUAAGCCACUAGUCCUAGGGCCAGGAGGGUUCUUUGAUGCAAGUUGGUACACAGAAUUCAUAGAUAAAACACUCAAAUCUCUUCAAGUAGUCACCCAUCAUAUAUAUAACCUCGGUCCAGGUAUAUUGUCACUUUUUGUCCUCUCCUUUCUCUCAGUUUUUUGCCUUCAGUCUAGUGUGUUUCUGUGUGUAAUCUACAGAAGCUUCUAUCCUGAGAAUGAGAGUUAACCUUUUUUCCAUUUCUGGUAUAUAGGGGUUGAUGAUCACCUCAUUGAUAAAAUUCUUGAUCCGUCAUAUCUUGAUGGUGGUUCCAAGCCAUUCCAAGACCUCCAAAGCAUUCUACAGACUUCUGCAACUUCAGCAACUGCUUGGGUUGGUGAAGCUGGAGGGGCUUACAACAGUGGCCAUAAUCUUGUCACUAAUGCAUUUGCUUUCAGUUUCUGGUAAGUUAGUACUGAUGCUUUAACAUGGAAAGUUCUCUGACUUUUGGAUACUUCCUUUUCAACAUUGAUCUAAUUUUCUCACUAACCAAACAGGUACCUGGAUCAGCUUGGAAUGGCAUCAUCUUAUGAUACCAAGACAUAUUGUAGGCAAACCUUGAUUGGAGGAAACUAUGGCCUACUCAACACUACCACCUUUGUCCCAAAUCCUGAUUAUUACAGGUUAUUUUUUAAUUCUAAAUUAAGACUAAACAUAGUAAUCCCAGACAUUAUUGUUGAUGUUGUCAUCUUGCAGUGCACUUCUUUGGCACCGUUUGAUGGGAAGAAAUGUUCUAUCAACCAGCUUCUAUGGGACAAGGAAAAUACGUGCUUACGCUCACUGUUCCAAACAAUCCGUAAGUAAAAUCUACAUUUAAAUUCACCAGCAGAAGAUAAAUACUCUUCGGUGUUUAUCAUGUCUGGUUUUCAUCACUGCAGCCAGGAAUCACAUUGCUAUUGAUCAACCUAGAUGGUAACACAACAGUUCAAGUCCAAGUUUCAACUGAAAAUGCUGGCAACAGGACUUCAACUUUACAAGAUACAGACAAAACUCAAAGAUCAAAUUUUUCUAGGAUGCGUCGAGUUUCUAAAAUUGAUGCAAGCGUGAGAGAAGAAUAUCAUUUGACAGCCAAAGAUGGGGAUUUACACAGCCAAACACUGCUUCUAAAUGGGAAAGUACUGACCAUAAAUUCAUCUAGGAUUGUCCCUCCCUUGGAACCUAUAAGGGUAAGCUCAAUGGAUCCUGUAAUUGUUGCUCCUUUCUCUAUUGUGUUUGUUCGCUUCCCUAAUAUCAAUUACCCUGCCUGUAAGUAUAAGUAGCCAGAUGGAAAUGGAUAAAUUUUAUUUGUUGAUUGAGCUACUACUAUUUGGAAUACUACUGCCAAUUAUUUGCAUAUUUUUCUGAAGAUGAAAGAAAGACAUGCAAAAUGUCAAAGUCUACAUAAAGAUGAUGAAUCAAAGGGCAUAUAAGCUACGAUGGUUAUUCUGUGGGAUAAUUCAAUCAGGUUGCAUUGUAAGAUAACCAUUUUUUGUACCAUUUAUCUAAUAAAUAACAAUAUUAUCUAUCAAACAGUACAGUUUGGUUACUUCUCAUGUCACAAAGGAAUCCAAUCCAUGCCCUUUUGUACCAUGUGCAUUACUUUUCUCUCUGUUACACUCUUUCUUGGGUUCUAUUAAGAGCCCGCUUGAGAGUGUGACUUCAAGAGGACUAGAAGCUCUUCCAAAUGCUUGGAAGCAUUUCUUCAUAAAAAUAGAUCUUUGGCAAACUUUUGAAAAUUACUUCUAAAAAUCUAGAGAAUCACUUUUAAGUGAUUCUUUCAAAAAUCACUUUUUUGUUAUAGAAGACAUUAUCAAACAUGUCAUCAAAGCACUUUUUUGGUUUAUAUCCAAAUACCAAGUGAUUCUUCUUAACAAAAUUUCUAAUGAAAGAGCUACUAACAAAACCACAAUAAACUAAAAAUGCUUUAACCAGAAUUACUCUGAAAUGGCUCUAAGUCAUGCCAAUGUUUUCUCCAACUCCAUCUCAAAUUUCAAAUAAUUCUAGAAUCCCAUGUGGGGUCAGAUGACUAGCACGAAUAAAUCAUAGAAAUAACAACAUAUACAACUUCAAAAAUCAUUUAAAAUAUUGAAGAUAUAGAUGAAUAAACCAAAAACUACUCAAUUAAAAAGACAACUUCAGAUGCUUUACCAUUUUCUUUUUCUCCAUCUUUUUAGCUUUGUUUCUUCUCCUCUUCUGUAACUUAUGAGGAAAAAAUAAAGUACAUUUUAAUGUUUUUUAUUUCCUCAAAUCCCAUAAUUUUUUUCCGGUGGUUUCAAACACAAAGACAACAAAAAAUAAAGAAGAGGCUUCAUUUGACACUAAGCAUAAGAGUAACCAACUAUCAUUAUUUAGCUACAAAUAUAUUGCUUAUUUAAAAUGAAAAACAUCUUUCAUUAAUGAAACAAUACUCCUGCCUCUAUGAUAAAUAAAUUUUCUUCCUAACAGUGAUCAUAUAUCGACCCACAACAAAGAAUAAAUAAUUCAUCCUCAGUACACAUGCAUACCCCAUUUCAAAAUUCCAAAACUCACCUUAAUUUUGUUUAGGAGGAGAAACUAAUUUCAGAAAAUCUGAAUUUUGGCCACAAUGAUAGAAAGAUAGUGUUGAUGCCGUAGACACUCAAGUUGCAGCAACCUGCUCUUGCAGUGCAAGGGGAAUAGCUGGUCUCCAAGUUGUCCCAUCUGGGCUAUCCAUGAGAGCAAUUCCUACAGCAGCCAAAUCUUUCCUAAUUGCAUCUGAUUUUUCAUACUCUUUGUUCUUCCUUGCCAUGGUCCUUUCUUCAAUUUUUUGCAAAAUGUGAUCUUCUGUUAACUUGGAGCGCUUCAAUGCCUUUUCUCUCAGCUGCAGCAAAGCCUGGCACAUGAAAUGGUUAUUGGCACAUUAAAAAAUAGAUUAACAGGUAUAGUAGAUGGAUUAUUGAAUUCCAGACAUUCACAGGACAGAAAUUAGUCAGGAAAAUGAAGACGUGUGAGUCCAAUGGAGACACCAAAAUCCAACAAGAGUUUUAGAAGUAAUUCUUUCAAACAAUAUAUAUAUAUAUGGAUAGUUUUAUGGGAGGAAACCAAAUCAUGAAUAUUUUGGAGGAAAAUAAAUCAUGAAUAUUUGGAAAUUGCGCACAAUAUUCAAAAACAAUUUGCAAAUUAUCAUACAUGCUAAAACUGGGUCAUGUGCUCCUACUUAAAAUGCUUGGUUAAGAAAUGGAAUUUCUUAGAAAACUCACAGGUUUUUUCAUAAUGCAUUUGCAUACCUCAGAGUAACUAGCAGGCAUCAAUCCUAAAAUGGUAAGAACAUCUCUGAUAACCUUUUCAAGAGCUGCCAGUGAUUCUAGUCGCAGUUCUUGCUUCUUUCCCUGUACAGACCAUUCCGUUAUAAAUAACACAAAAAUGACAAAAAAAUAAAAUAGGAUCAAUAACAUUAAUUAGAAAUAGAUUCAUAUGGGAAUGUUAGGUUGUGUGGAGAAUUACUGCAAUAAGAAUUCCAAACUGUAUAUUUUAAUCAACAAUGUAAGAAUUCCCACAAAUUGUUUAUUUAUCCCCAAAAAAGGGAAAAGAGAGAGAGUUGUGUCAUAAAUAACGCAAAAAGGACCAAAAAAUGGGUAGGGUCAAUGACAUUAAUUAGACAUAGAUUUGUGUAAAUGGUACUGUUGGGUUGUGUGGAGAAUCAAUACAGUAAGAAUUCCAUACUGUACACUUUAUCAACAAUGUAAGAAUCCCUACAACUGUCUACUAAUCUGAACACUAUAGAAUUUACUGUAUACAAGGUGUCUAAACCAAGGCCAACACCCUCACCACCCCCCAUCCCCUCCCUGUUCUGCAUCAGUUUGGCUUUCAUGCUGAACAUAUCAAUUUAAAAUCCAUGAAGGGUCUUACUCCUUUGGUUAAGGUUCAAUGUCAGACCAAAGCAGGUCGCAGCCCAUGAGAUAACUCCCUAACACAUCCUAGCCAUUUGUGUUCCUCACAAACCAUACAAUCUACAUUAACUAAGAUAAACAGUAAUAAUGAGUUUACAUACCCAUAUCAAUAUAAGAUGUAACCAUUGAUAAAAUACCUUACGAGUAUGUAGCAGAUCAUUGAUGGUUUUCAAUGGGUCAGAUAAAGCAGCCAAAACAACAGGAGUAUGAAGAUCGUCUGACAUUGAAGUCAGAAAAUCAUUGUAAAAUUUAUUGAUGCAAUCCAAAAUAUGAGGUGGGACAGAAUCCUUCUUUGUCAUAUCAUCCUGGUCCAUAGCAUUUUGACAGUCGUGUAGCGUCUGCAACCAAUGAACAACAGUAGGGACCAUGUCAUUGAUCAGAUAUAAAGUUGUUGCUAAAUUCAGACAGAAAGCUGUAACAAACUAUUAAAUUCACUCUCCAAGUGUUGCCAUAUAAAACUUAGGCCUCUUUUUUGUCCAGUCCAGAUUGGUUUGGACAGCAAAUUAUAUUAUGAGAAAAAUGAUGUAUUAGCUCAGGUGGUUUGUGUGUGUGUGUGUGUGAGAGAGAGAGAGAGAGAGAGAGAUUUUAUUCUUGAGCUGAGUUAUUAAAAAUUAUGUACCUGAUAAAUGUAGAAAACACAGUCAGAGGCACUUUCAAGCUGCACAUCUGAGUAGUUGAUUGGGGAACGAUAGUGGGUUCCUAUGGUUUGUGUGUGUGUGUGUGUGUGUGUGUGUGUGUGAGAGAGAGAGAGAGAGAGAGAGAUUUUAUUCUUGAGCUGAGUUAUUAAAAAUUGUGUACCUGAUAAAUGUAGAAAACACGGUCAGAGGCACUUUCAAGCUGCACAUCUGAGUAGUUGAUUGGGGAACGAUAGUGGGUUCCUAUCAAGAAAAGCCUCAAAGCUAGCGGAUGGUAAAUGUCUAUAACCUGAGAAAGGAUCAAACGCAUACAAUCAUGAAGAAGUUGAGACAUUUGAAAAGUGAACUCAAAGAUGUCAGUUGAGUUGCAAUAACAGGCAGAGAAAUAUAACAUGCAAGACCACAUCAAAUCCCCGACCUGUCGUAUUGUGAAGAAGUUUCCAAGGGAUUUUGACAUUUUCUCUGAAUCAAUGGUGACAAAUCCAUUGUGUAUCCAAUAGCUUAUAUUACUCUGUUUACAGGCAGCACAACUCUGAGCAAUUUCAUUUUCAUGGUGGGGAAACACAAGGUCCAUCCCUCCACCAUGAAUGUCAAAUGAGUAACCCAGAUAAGCAGCACUCAUGGCACUGCACUCAAUAUGCCAUCCAGGUCUCCCAGGCCCCCAUGGACUGUCCCAAAAGGGUUCCCCCUUCUUUGCAGCCUGCAAAUUACCAAUAGAUUCUGUAGCAAAAGGUACUUCAAUAGCAAACAAAUACAGUUGGAAAUAUGAUAACAAAUAACAUUUGCUAUCCAACUAAUAACAAUUAAAUGCAUCAAGCAAAGACUCAUGCAAACAUCAAUAAGAUUAUAAAUCAAUGCAAAUAAUCGUCAAUUCCGAACCCAACAGUGAUGAUGCAAACAUGAUUCCCAAAUAUAACCAGCAAGACUGACAAAUUCAGGCAGUCUAUUUUGUAUUCUCUCCUCUAAUCAUAUAAGAACUUUUCAAUAUCAUUGCACAGAACUUACUUCUACACCCCCUAACUCUUUGUGGGUCCUCAUUACAUAGAGCUACCAUUUGAUCAAUGUCCAAACCUCACUGUCCCUUGCCCCCAAAACAAAAUAAUCAUCAUGCUCACCAAAUAUAAGCUGAUCCAAUACUGUCAUAUCAUCCAUACAGUGUUUUAAAUUAAAGUUUUAUUUUAACUUCAUAGAAAAAGGACUUGGUAUUUGGCAACUAUGACUAGCAUGAGGACAGCUUAUCCAACAGUAGGCUUUGCAAAACAUUGACCUAACAACAGUUUAUCAAGGAUGUAAGAAUAAGUUCUGCAACAGGUAUAAUUUGAUCCUGACUUGUGUGCAUGCAUAAGUACCUACCCUCUAUAACCAGUUGGAAUUGUCCAAAACUUGCUAAAACUCAAGAAGGUUUAUGCAAGACUACAGACUAGAUCAGAUUUUAACAGCUCUAAUGGUUUGGUAUAUGUUGUGAUACACAAAGACGUUAAUUUCAGCCAAAAUAGUCAUGUCAACACGAUAUGACACAGACGUGGGUGUGAGAUCAACGUCGAACAUGCUUAUAUUUCAUUGGAUACAGCUAUUUAGCUCAUGACUACUUUAUCUCUUUCUUUAAUUUUUUUAAUUAUGCAUAUAUUGGGUCAAAUAAGAUUAUUCCGUUCUUUAUCUAUUACUUAAUUUAUUAGAUAAUAGUGUAAAAUAAAUUGUAAUAAAAAAUAAAUAAAUAACAUUUAAAUUAAUUUCUAAAUCUUGUAAGGAAAUGGUUUAUCCUUCUUAAUUUUUUUAAAAUUAUAAUAGAUGAAAUUUAUAGGUUGAAACAAAGGUUUAUUAAUAAUGUGGUAUAAUUUUUCUUAAAUAUUUUUCUCAGCAUUAUAUUACAAUAAAAGACCAAUAAUAAGUAAGUUCUUCAUGUACAAUUAGUGUUAGGGUUAAGGUAAAAUAAGGCUUAAUAUCUUGUUCAAAUGGAAAAGAUAUAAUAAAUAUAUUUUCUGAUUACAAUUAACCAUAUAGUAUCAUAACUAAUUUCAUUGUGCAUAUGUUUGGUGUUAAUUUAUUUUUCAUUAAUGUCAUAUCCAAGUACCCGCACCCAUAGUUGAGAUCCUUUUCACCUAAAUCCUCAUAUUCUAAGAUUUUGGAAUGCAAAGGAUCCCAUGCCUAGGCACGUACCUGCACCUGACCCCCCAUACCCGAACCUAUGUAACAUAGGGCAUAUACAUGCAUUGUAUAAAUAUGACAAACAUUUAUUUGUUGAAGCCUUACUUUCCAUAAAGCAAAAUCUGCAGGAUUUUUCUUCCUAGAGUCAACAGCAACCCGUUCACCUGCUCGAUUAUCUUCUACUUUUCGCCCAGAUAAUCGGCCAUAUUCUGGGAAUUUGUCAACCGAGAAAUACACAUCCCCCUCAACUCUGUAGGCACAAUCAUUAUCAAUAAUCUGCCAAGCAAGACAUCAACAUGUCAUAAGCCAAUCUAAGGAAACGCAUGUAUCUGAUGUCUGAUGUCUAGUGUGUGUGUGUGUGUGUGUGUGUGUGAGAGAGAGAGAGAGAGAGAAAGAGAUUAACACACUUUCAGCAAUACUGUUUAUUCAUAAAAAAAAGUGUACAUGCAUAGUUGAAUAGAAAGAGGACAAGAAAGAAAAAAUGUUGAACCCCUGAACAAGACCAAAAAUAAUAUCCAAAAAACACAUGUUUCAUGGCAUAAAAAAUAAAUAAGGUGCAUGAAAUUUGAAUUCCACGGCAUCAAUCAAAUGAAGUCAAAUUUUACUUGUUCAUUUUCUCCCUCCAACACACUGAUGAGCCAGAGUUAAUCAAGGUUGAUAUUUUGGAAAAGAAUUUUUCCUUUGUCCAGCCACAUUAGAUAAAUAAACAUCUAAAAGUAUCUCUCUUCAGAAGCAGUUCAUUGAUGGUCAUGAGCUUGAGAGUAGGAUUGCCCCAUUAACAUUUUUUAGAGCACAUCACUCUUUUUUUAGUAUAGAAACAUAUGUAGGUAAUAAGAAUGACAAGCAUUAAGCCUGUUCUAAUCCAAAUAUCAGACUGUAUAACAAGUUACCAACUGUAAACUAUUGUCACAAAAACAGCAAUCUAUUAUGACUUUUUGCAAAUACAUUUAACACACAUCCAUAGGCUCAAUAUUUUAAUAAAAAUUGAUCUAUAUUUUCAUAAUGUUUUGACACUCCACUAAACAUAUUCCUAUUUUUUUCCUUCUUUUUUUUCAAUAACUUGGUGAACAAUCUCAAUCCCCAUCCCUGUAUGCUAUGUUUGAUUCUAGGAAAGUGCCAAGGAAAGGAAAAAAAAAAUGUUAAGCAAAUUUUCUCAUAUUUAGUAUACCAUGGAAAAUAGGAGAGAAAAUUAAAUAUAACUAAAAUGAGUUAAAAACUUAUAUAUUUUUACAUUAGUUAUCUUUAUAUAAAAAAAGAAAAAAUAAGUGAAAUAAGUUUGAAGUAGCAUGUAAAAAUAAUUUAUUAACUUUAAAUAUAUUUUUUAUUUUUCUUCACUUGUUCAUUCCUUCUAUUUUUCCUCUCCAUUUUUUCCACCGUAUUUUUCCUCAAAUUUUCCAAAAACCAAACAGGGUUAAACAAUUUCUACUUCGAGUGGGAAUUUCUUCCACAAUGAAAAAAGCCUGCUUUUGAACCUCAAAUAUAGCUUCAGCUAUCCCUGAUUUCUUCCAUGGUGACUGAAAGGAAAUAAGUGAUUGGGAUAAAUUGGACAGUACAACAUUCACCGUUUUGCAAUAAUUUCCAGUCAGAGAUGAAGUUAUAUAAUUGUUUUAAAAAAAAAUCUUUAAUUAAUCAGAAACUUAAGAAAACAGAAUGAGUUUACACAAAAACAUACAACUUAACAACUAUAACUAAAAAACCAAUGGUUUUACAUGCGUUUCUGCAACAAAGAGUACGACAGGGUUGAGGAACACGGCCUUUACACUGAAGUAACCAAGUUGCAAGGACAAGAGCAAGCCCUUGCAAUUCUUGAAAAAAGUAACACCACAAAAUCAUACUUUAGUGAAGUACCUGCUUAAUCAUAUCAAUGAUUUGGGGCAUGUGAUCAGAGACACAUGGCUCCACCGAAGGAGGCAAGCAGUGAAGAUAUGUCAUAUCCACAUGGAACUCUUGGCAGUAUCGUCUGCUCAAAUUUAUUGGAUCCUCCCCCAUUUCAUUUGCUCUAGCAAUUAUCUACAGAAUUCGAAAAUUGCAGACUCAGCUAUCCUGUCAUACAUAUGUAAAAAGUAGUUGGUACUUGGCAUCCAAGUCGUGCAGCAUGAUAAGAUCAACAAAUUGGAGAACUAAAAAUUCAACAUUGAAACACUAGUGCUAUAUUUGGUUUCAACAAAGUACCAAGGAAAGAAAAAAAAAAUUGUAAGGGAAAAUGAUUUUCUCAUUUAGAUUUUAUUAUGAAAAAUUACAAAAAAAAAAAAAUCAAAUAUAAUUUUUUUUAUAGGUAGAAAGAAAAUAAAAUAAAAUUAUAAUUAGUUGAAAACUUAUGUAUUUUUAAAUCAUUUAAUCUUUAUAUAGAAGAGUUAAAAUAAAUGAAAUAAGUUUGAGAUAGUAUAAAAUAAGAAUUUAUUAGCUUUCAAUUUAUUUUUAUUUUCCUUCACUUCUUUUUUUCCUCUUUGCUUUUUCUCUUAAUUUUCUUCCCUUUACAUUUUCUCUCAAAUUUUCCAGGAACCAAACAUACCCUAGAAAUCAUGAUUACAGCAAAUGAUAAAGAAACACAAUUUACAAUGCAUAGAAUCAAGUAGUGAAACUUGGAAGUUAAAUUUCAAGGACAGAACUAAGAUUUGAUCCAACUGAAACCGAAACAACAUAUACAAUUUAAAACUUAAAUAUUAAUUUGAUUUCUUCCGCAAAUGACAUUUAAGUUACAAUGCCCUCUCAGAAGCAGUUUAGAUAUUCACCUUGUCAUCUACAUCAGUGAAGUUUCGAACAUAAUUCACUUCAUACUCCAAAUGCCUCAGGUAUCUGCCUAAUUCCAAAACAAUACAUAAAUUGAAUCAAAUUAGUCUCCAAACAUCAAACUGCAAAAACUAAACUUCUUACAACAAGCAACAAAAAGUAAAUACAUAAAACUGAUCUCAAACAAAAAGGAAAAUCCUUCUUUGGUUCCUAAGAAAAAUGUAGAAACAGAAAAGAUAUUAAAUUUUUUAAAUCCUUGAUAGUGGGGAAAAAAGGGUUUAUUCUAUUAAUCUUAACACAACAAUUUGGCUUAUUUGAAGUGUGAUUUCCUUUUUCCUCCCAAUUCAAAUAUAAUAGAAAACUCAAAUUUUUUUACCAGCCAACCAAGAGUUCUCCAUAUCUUUGUCUAAUUCCAAGAUAACAUAGAAUCCCAAACUUAAUUUACAUUCACUUUUUCCCGAGUUUCCAGGAAACGAACAGAGGUAUUGGAAAAGGAGGUUCUUUUUCCCAAUUUCAAAAUUUAAAAAGAAAAAAAAAAUUAGAUAGAUGAAUAGAAAAUUUUGAAAUUUCUACUUUCUUUCAUUUUCUUCGUUUAUUUUUCCCAGUUGUCUUGGGAAACAAACAAAUGUUCCUUCUUUUCCAAUUCCAAAAUUUAUCCAAAAAAAAAAAAAAAACAUGAAAUCGAAAUUCUAUUUCUUUUUCUCAUUUUUUUCCUUAGUUUGCUCGCAGAACAAGUAGAGGCAGAAGAAAAAAAAACACAUCCUUUUUCCUUCCAAACACAAACCCAUCAAAUUUUCUUCCAUUCUUCAGCUUUCUGGCAAUAAAAAUAUAAACUUUUAAAAGGAAAAAAAAAAGUUCUAAAAACAAAACAAUAAUAAGAAACCACACAGAACUAGGCUAUCUAGAAGUAAGGAUGGAGAGAUAGAGAGAAAAAGAGAGACCUGUAGAGAACAUCGAAGGAUACAUAAACACGAGCAUGGCCAAUGUGGCUGAGAUCGUAUGCGGUGACACCACACACAUACAUUCCUACUCUCCCAUCUACUUUGGGCUUGAACACCUCCUUCUGCCUACUCAUAGUGUUGUACAGCCACAGCUCUGCCCUCCGAUUCUCAACCCCUUCACCACCGCUAUUUUUCUCAUCAAUCAAUGGCUGAGAUUGCUUCACAGAACUGAAGCAGCGACCUCCACAGACCUUGCUGUUGGAGAAGAUGGCAUGGGAGUGGUGAGUUGGGAGACCACUCGUCCGCACUGAGUUAGGAAUCGGAAUAAAUCGCAGCGGGAACAAGGGCUUGUAGCACUUGAGCAGAGUACCCAUUGGGGCAAUUGCUGUUUUCUUUAGGCUUUUUCGUGGGGUUAUAAGUUUAUAACUUAUAAGCGUAGCUGCGUUAUCUGAAAGGAGCGAGUUUACUCGCUCACUCGGUGUGUGCUCAGUUCUGUUUGAGUGAACUCGGUAUUGGGCAUGUGGGUCGGGUUAAACCUUAACUUUAACAACCUAGGUUUACUCAUGAUCUUUACGGUGCACUCAAGAACAUGAUGCUAAACCUUAGUUCUACUGACAAACACAAGUCAUUUUGCAUAUUUCGAUCAUAUUCAACAUAUUGAUCGAGUAGAAUGUUCAUACGACAAUGUUCCAAUUAAUUAAACAUUCAUAAAAUAUGGAAAAAAUAAAUUAUAUUGACAUAAUUAAUCAUAUUUAUUUAUUUAUUUAUUUAUUCUCUAUAAGUACUUUUAAAUAUUUAUGUAUUAAUUUUAUAAUUUUAAAUUGAAAGUAAAUUAAGACAGCACUUGUCUUCCAUUUUCUUUCACAUUUUCAAAUAUUUAUUACAAUUCUUUAUAUUAAAUGUUUUUUUAUAAAGCUUCUAGUUUUAGAUUACCUGGUGGUGAUUGUGAUGGACACUACCUGAAUCCCAAUGUUUGAGUCUCAUGAAAUGUUACUCAUUAUGGAUAAAAGAAAAAAAAAACCUUUCUGAAAUCUGGAUAAAAGGAGAAAAAAUGAAGGUGAAGGUUCAGUAGACAGACAGAACCACUAACAGCACAAAAGCAUAAUGGAACAACAAAUUGUAUAGGUUCUCAAUGGUAACAUGAUCAGACAGCUCUCAAUUGUAUAGGUUCUCAAACAGCCCCUUACUAGCAUAACCUCAGGGCAGUACAUGUUCUCCAGUCAUGCAACAAUACUGAAAAUGCUGGCUAUAGUUUUGCAUACAAAAUCAUCCCACUUUGACACUAACAAUUUUGCUUGCCAUCCAUUAGUUAGUAGCAUUGUGGAAUUCCAGGCAUGGUUAUGCUGUACUAUAGUAUGUACUACAAAAUGUGUGCUGCUCGUUCCCUGAUCUAAAAGGGAUAUUCUUUAUGACAUGUCCUACUCUGCCCAGUGCCAGAUUUCCCAGAAUGCCCACAUUUUCUGAACCAACCAAGUAAGUUGGAGGCCUUUGUUCUGACGGAGAGAAGCUGCUUCUUCUGAUCAAGCCGCGGAGCAUACCUUAUCUGAAACCAAAAGUUAAAGUUGAAUCACAAUCGUUAAAAGACUAGUCACACCAUUGAGGCCAGAAUUUCUUAUUUGGCUUAGGAGGGUAAUGCAGCAGUUUGAAUCUUUCCAGGUAAAUCAUUUUCCUACCCCUCAAAAGAAAAAGGUUUGAAUGAAAAUAGAGCAAAUUUGUUAAAUAUAUAAUGCAGAGUAUCUAAUUAUUAUUCCAAGCAUAGGAAAAUAUUGGAUAUGCCAAAACAAAGAUAUAUCACAUGAGCCACAGAAAGACUAGUGAUGUUGGAUUAGCAAUGGAAAGAAAAUCAUUUGUUAGGAAAAAAGGAAGAGCAAGUGAGUGAAUUCACCUUGUCGGGAGCUACUGCAGCACAAACGAUUGUCAUCUAUAUAGGUUGCCUGGAUACCCAUCAUCCAUGACCCCACAGAUAUAUCAUCAUGAGCGUAAGUCAUAAGCGAUGCACUGCAAAAACAAGCAAAUUGAGAUUUGAAUGGAAGUCAUGAAAAUGAAUAGAAAUGCUUCUUCUAAAUCUAAGAAAAGUGAAAAAUGAAGCAAAAUGCAUGGAGUGAUACUGCUUGACCAUCUGGUUCAGCUCAUAGCUGCUCAUGAUUUGCAGAAAAUGAUUUACUUCUACCAAAGUUCCAUCAGUCAAUUGAAUCUUGAGGUUCAUCUCACGUUAUUAUAGUACAAAGAAGUUGAAGUUCAUGUUAUUUGUGGACUAUAUAUCCUUAUGAUUUUUGUAAUUACAGCUUCACACUACCAAACACAAAAAUGUAGUGUCUUCUUUUCAGCCAAAAUAGUGAAACACAAUCAGCUACUUCUCAAUCAUAACACCAAUAAACCCAUCAAUUUCACUACUUAAAAGAUAACUUCAUAUCCAAACUAAAUUUUUCUUUCCCCAGCAGAGGCAUUAAACUAACCUGUUUAUGUUAACAUACUGGACCAAAUUUUUGGAGAGUAUAAUAAGUGAACCACCUGCAUGGCGGAAGUACCUGAAAAAAAGAAAUUUGAUAAGAUUUCUAUAUUGUGGCCAUCAGAGCUGUAAUCAGGAUUAAGAUAUAAACAAAAAAUUUACACUUCAAAAGAGAUUUCAUUCUCUGCCAGUCACUUCACCAACAAUACAACACCAGCAAACUAAAAGAAAGGGAUUGAAGAACCAAAAUUACAACUAGAUAUUUUGGCAUAAAUUUUAAACAAGAAGCAAAAUAAUUUAAGCCUCUAUAGAGGUUUUCAGCAUUUUAACCUAAUUAUUAAAAAAUUUAAAAAAUGCAAACAAUGUAACCUUCUCGCGAUGUCCAACCUAAUUCAAUUUUACAAAAUACAAAAGAAUAUGUAAAUUUUUCAGAAGAUAGCAAACAAGCCCAAUUUACUCUGAAUAAAUAAAUAAUAACAGCUUCCAAUAAAUCUAACUUUUGCUAUUAACCCCAGCUUCCAGAAUAUUUAGUAACAUUUUGUAACUUUCCAUCCAAACUCCAGAACCUCCACAUGGAAUGGCUCCUGAAUUCCUACCUCGCUAAUAUGUUUGCAAGGGAAAAAUAGCAUAUAACAUUCCAUCAAACAUUAGUUUCUCUUGCAACUUCUAGAUGCAAAACUGAACAUAAUAUGGGGGAACUAGUUGUUUCUGUCCUCGAUAGAUAACCUCCAAAAUAAUGAAUGGCAAAGUAACAAUAUCAACCAGAAUUUUCUCUUUAUAAUUAAGGAUCUUUAUUAUAUGCCUGCAUAAAUAACCUUUAAAGUUAAACAAGUAGUCCCCAAUACAAGACAAACAUCAUGCCCACUCUUCAAGUAAAUAUUCAACAGUUGUUUCCACACAGAAACUAAUGUAUAAUAAUAAAUAAUAACACAUAUCCUAGUAUGUAACACUAAAUUAUAUUAAUUCACCUAACCAUUGGUGGUGCUUAAGAAACCUAUGCUGUCAGAAUCUCUUUGUAGUGCUCAAAGUACUAAUAAUUCACAAAGGCCGUGUGUACAAAUAUGAUAAUUUUCAUUUAUUUAUUUAUUCAAAUACAGACUGCACAAAUUUCUAGAUUCUGAUAAAAUAAAAAAAAAUACUAGAGCAUAAAACACUGUUGGGCUCUUCAUUUGUGAGGUUUUCAAGUUAUUUAAAUCAAUUCCAAUGUCAUCAUAUUCAAAUAUAACUGUCACUGAUAUGACCCUGCUUCCACCUUAUUGACAGCCAACAGAUUUAGUUAUUUGUGGGAGAAAUCAGGAUAGUAGCCUAUGAAAGGAGGAAAGCAAUUGUGGGAAUCCAAAUAUCCUUCUUUCCUUUAUUGUAUUCGCAACCAAACAGACCUUAAGAGAAUGUAAUUAGGAUCAGAGGAUACUGACAAUAAAAAAAGAAAUAACUAAGAUAUUAAAAAUGAAAGAAAAGAGGCGACCCACGCUCAACAGUGCAAAUAAGACUUUCAAAAUGUAUGACAAAUAUAAUUUAGGUGUAUAUAACACACUAUUCUCCUACACAAGCAAGUUCACUUACGAUUUCUCAUCCCCGAAUUUCCACCAUUCAGGUUCAUACCACGGCCUUCCCCUGAAAAAUUAACCAAGAAAAAAAGAGAGAUAUUAAAUGCUAAAAAGCAGAAGUCUAAUCUCACAGUAAAUCAAAGGUGAAUACAUUAGGAAUUUAAAAUUUACUUUUGAAAUAACAUGCUUCUAUGGAGAGCUUAAACCCUAUUAAAUAAUAUGCAGAUACAAGCAUGGUGUAUAAAACAUAGUCAUUUCCCCAAACACAAACACAGGAUAAAGCUAUAUAUGUGUUUUUCAAUUUAUCAUAUUGAACAUAUAUGUGUUCAAAUUUAAUUCCAAGAAUAAUACCAUAUGGUAAGGCCACCAAACUACUCAUCUUUAGGCUAAGACAAUGAAUAAGGCAGUAAUUAAGUUGACAAGUACAAAUAAAGUUCUCUAUUUUAAAUAUCUACCAAGAACGACGACAAUGUCAUUGGCUCUGAAUGGUGAGCAAGCGAUAUCAAGCAUGUCCAGCUUGAAGAUUGCUCAAGAUUACAUCACGGUCAACCAAGAAACAAAAACAAAAGAGGUUGCAUUUUUGUGUCAUUGUCAAUGUUAUUAAAGGCAACAAGUGAUAGCACCUGGUUUUGCCUUAGGUGAAGGCAAAAAAAAAAAAAAAAAAAAAAAGGCAAUGGACUGAGCAAAGCAAGACAAGCUUGUCCAACUUGAAAGGUGCUGACUAAGAAACAAAAAUAAAAGAGGUUGCAUGUUUGUGCCAUUGCUAAUGUUAUCAAAGGAAAAAAGCAAUAAGACCCUAUUUAGUCUUAGGCAAAGGGUGAAAAACAAGGUGAUAGCCUGAGCAAAAUAAGGUGACAAAAUGUGUGAUGUGAGUUUGUGCCAGCAGCCAUACUUGAACAAUACAAAAUCAUCUUCACCAUCAUUUUGAUGAGGAGGCGGUGAUGAAGUGUGUGUGUGUGUGUGUGUGUGUGUGUGUGUGUGAGAGAGAGAGAGAGAGAGAGAGAGGGAGAGAGAGAUACUUGAACAAUACAGAGAUCAUCUUCAUCAUCAUUUUGAUGACAACAAUGAUGAUGAUGCCGUUCAAUAAUCAACAAGCGUAUGGCCACUGCCUUACUUGAACAAUACAAAGAUCACCUUUGCAUCAUUUUGAUGAUGACAAUCAUGAUGGUGUCAUUCAAUACUAAACAGGUGUAUGGCUACUGCCAUACUUGAACAAUACAAGGAUCAUCUUCACAUCAUUUGGAUGAUGACAAUG
rnacentral:lncRNA from 1 species